rnacentral:lncRNA from 1 species
UUUUUUUUUUUUGCUCAAGAAUAGAAAUUUGCCUUCAUUCUUCAACUCAAUGAUCAUUGCACUUUCUCAUACAGAGCCUACACAUCAAAACACUAAAUGUAACCUCCCUAACCUGGCCUAAAUGUUAUGGCUAGAUUAAGAAGACUACAUUAUCCACCGAAAUGGCUAAGCUAACUUACGUUACUUUUCAAGACCUUAAAUAAACCCAUUUUAGAGAAAAAUCGUAGUUGUAGUUUGAGUUAGUUUAAAAACAUUCAUUUACUAGGUCAUCUAUACUUAAGAUUCAUUAUUAUUAACAUGUUAUUUUAGAAAAAUCGUUUGUUCAUCACAUUACUUUGUAAAAACUUGAUGUUAACUAAUGCAGCGGAAAAAAACCAUUAUCCAUGUCAUUUUGGAAACCUAGUUGUCUUAUCGGUUUGUUUUUUUCAAAAACGGUUCCUUUGCAAUGCAAUGGAUAUUAGUGAACAAUGUCAAGUUUUUACUUAAGCCAACUAUUAUGCAUUUUCCAAUUAUUAUCCUUGAUUAAUCCAUGCAUGCAAAAAUCCCCAAAUGAAAAGUUAUCAAGCCACAAACCAUAAAUAAUUAAAAAUUACAAACCAAAACCAAUAGAGACUUAAUAAUACUUAUUAAAUAUAGUCUGAGGUCCAAGGUGAUUCUCCGUACGCCAGGUUUGGUCCUAAUUUCAAGGUUUACCUGAAAAGUUAAACACAAUGGAGGAGUGAGCUUAUGAAAGCUCAGUGUGAGUCGAACAGUUAUUUAAACAGACAUAAAUACCAAAUAUAGUGAAGCAUAUCCGUAUAAACAGAAGAACACAUAACCAUUAUUGGAAUUUCAUAUCAUUACAUAACCAUUAUCAAACUGAUGUCAAACGGUGUAUGAGCGUGGGGUGAUGAAAAUGAUGUAAUGCAAAAUUUCUUACCCAAACCAUCCGCUACACACCACGAAUUCCCCAGAACCCGUCUGCCAAAUUCCAACGAAUGCGAGCAAAGCUCGAUGUGGUAAAACCACCGAAUGAACAAAAUUGUAGAAAAUCUACCAUCUAACGAGUAAAUGUGAUAAAAUCGCCAAAUCUCCUAUAAUCUCUGGUGCAGUGCACUAACUACGAAUAAAUGCGGAAUUAAUAUGCCGCCAAAUCUCCACGAAACUCUUCUGUCAACCAUAAUAACAAUCCCACCUCAAUGCACAUGCAAUAUGUCAUACAAUCUCAUACAUAGUCAUUAAUUCAAUACUUUCACAUUUCUUUGGUAUGAUCAAUAUGCCCUCAUAUUAUCAAAUAAUUUCAGUAAAUAGGAUAAUUUGUCAAAUUUUCAAUUUACCAUUAAGAUGGUGUCGUUCAACAUAUCACAAUCUCAAAUAACUUACAAUUCUUUAUCGAGUACAUGUAUAGUAGUCUUUCAAAUAUUCCAUAGCAAAUCAUUCAUACAAAUAUAUCAUGCGUACCUCAUUCUCAUUCAGAAUCAUGCUAUACAUACAAUCAACAUACACCAUAUCAAGUAAUCAUCCACAACAAUAUCAAUCACACAAUUAUUCAGUCAUUCUCACCUUUUUGCUAACAUGUCAAAUAGUUAAGGCUCGAAUCGUACUUGAUUCGGCCACUUACAAUUUAAUUACUUAGCCAUUUAACCAAGCCCGACCAGAAAGCUUAGUCAUCAAUUAAAUCAUUUAAAAAUAAUAUUAAAAUACUCAAGUUAACGAGUUAGGACCCACACCUUAAUUUACGCCUUACUGCAGCACACUUGCAAAUUUCGCAGUUUCUCCUUAAGACUUCAAAACAAACCUAUAUUAAAAAUCAUCAUUUAACUAAAUUAAGAUACCACUUAAACAACACCCAAACACCCUCUUAUGGGUUCAAUCCAAUUGUUACAAUUAUAUCAAUUUUUCAUAUCCAAACUAGUUAGGCUUCUUACACUAGUUUGAUGUAAAUCGUAUGCAUAAACGUCUAACAGCUUCAGUAUUGAUUUGGGGCGUUUAAGUCGAAAUCUAACACAUUUAAAUACUAAAAAAUAAGUAGCUAUUCCAUCUUUAAAAUCUUUAAUUCAAUCAAUUAACAAUUUCCCCAACAUCAAAAUCGAAACUACACACUAGCCCAUAAUCAACCACACUUACACUUCCCGAACUAUCAGAUUUGAGUCGCCAAUUGAUCAAGAUUGAUUUUCCUAAAUUAUACAUGAUUAAAGUCUGAUUAGGCAGGGUUCAAGAACCCAAGAUAUUUCUGGAAAUAGAUGGGAAAAAUUAAAGAAACAACAACCCCCUUUUGCGCCUCUAUGCGUAGUGUACCACCACCAACGGUGGCAAAAUCGGGACUAAUUUAAAACCACAAUUGAAAUCACUUUAAAGGCUGGAAAAAUACCCAUUAAAUCUUUAAAAAUCACCCCAAUUCCAUAUCUAGAAAAUUGGGUAUUUUAUUGAAAUAUUCAUCAAGAAAAAUAAAAGAAAAUGGCACUUACUCAAGCAAGAAGAUAUGGGCAGCAAUGGAUUUCUUUUGGGGUAUGAAUGGAGGCCGAUCUUGGGUGCUGAAAUUUCAAAUUUAAUAUUGGAAAUUUUAUGAUAAAAUAACAACAAGAAGAGGAAAAUAAUGGUGUAAGAACCCGUUGCAAAAAGAAGAGAAAUUGAUGGUGAAUUUUAGUUGCUUGGGUGGUAGCACGCAAGGGAAGAAAGAAAGAAUUGAGGAGAAAAUAAGAGAAGAGGAGGGUAAACAGCUAGGGUAGGGAAAUUUUGGCUUAAAAGCUGAAAAAUACAUAAAAAAAAUUUGUAUUUAUACCUAUGAUUCAAGGCUUGGGCGGCACAAAAUAAGGAGAAUGAGAAGUUUUAGUAAAAAUUAAGCUAUUUUGUAAGGGAAGGGAAUCAAACUUGGGGCAUUAAUCUAAUGCGUGUCAUAUACUAGGGUUUGAUGCAAAAUUUGUAAAAUAAUAAAAAUGGUGCAAAAGUAGGGAUUUAAACUUGGGUUUCAAGGAAUGUUUCACUAACACUUAACCAACAAUCCAAUACCUCAUUUAUUUCUUAAAAACACACAAACAAUCUCAAAACUUAGGGCAUGACCACACUCUUUUAAUUCAUAAACUUGAUUCUACUAACCCCCGAUUUUUAGAAUGUGACACUAGAAGUAUAUAGUGAGCCAAGUUUGGUAAAACACAUAAAAAGACUCUCCUCACCAGAUAAAAUACGAGAACUUGUUGUUUCAUGUCAUCUUUCUUUAUGAUUUGCAUCAACCCAGAUCCUUAUUUGACUAAAAUCAUUGUUGCUUGGAAUUUGAUAAUAAUUUACGGAUGAGUAUAAAUUCAUAUUCGCUAAUUUCUAGCCAUUUACCCCAUGCAGUUGGCAACAAUUUUUGUUCUAAAAGAUCACUUUUCCAUUAGAAAAUAACCAAAAUUUUCAUCUUUUAAUAACCAUGCUUUAAAAAAAAAAGAGAGAGUGUGUGUGUAAAGUGGGAAUAAAUUGACCAAGCAAAGGAUACUAAAACUGAUGAGGCAAACAACGACUAUUAAAAGAGCGGCAUCCAUUUGCCACAGGACAAUGGCGAGAGAUUCAUUCUCGAUAGAGGAGAGUACAACAGAAGACAAUGCCAGACGAGAUAAUGAAAGGUUUGAAUGGACAGGUAAGGGACAGACUAAUUGCACUUACCAGACACACAUGAUUUAUUUGCUUAAGAAAAAAAAAACCCAUCUUUUUUUAUCUUUUGAUAGUUGGAAUUUGAAAAAGAUAACCCAACUUAUUUUUAGAAGAACCCAACUUCUUCUCAAAGAUAUUUUUAUAGCUUUUUUCCUUUAUCAAAUCGAUUAUAGUUGAAGCAAUUUUUUCUAUUGAUGAAAAGUUAAACGAAUAGUUAGCCUACUUUUGUUCAAAUAAAAAAAACUUUUCAUAUUUAUUUUUUCACUUAGGUUUUGUCGAAACCACCUUUUUGAAAACAAAAAUUUUAGUUGUCGACUUUAAAAAACAAAAACUGGAGUUGCCACCGAUCCUUUAUUAAGGUGUGAUCGGCUCACCUUAAAAAUUAUUUUGGUCUACGAGUUUUUUGAGAAAACGAGUUCGGGAGUCGGUUACGCACGAGGAAGGGUUAGCACCCUCGUAACGCCCAAAAUCGGUACCAAAUUGAUUAUUUAAUGUCUUAGUGUCGAUGGCUAAAAAGAUUUUUAAAACAACUCAAAUGAUGAAAUCUGAAAAGGAUACUCAAUUGUUCAAGUCAUGUAAAGAAAUCGAGUCCCAAUACGUUAGGGUACAAUUUCUCAAAAUUCCCGAACUUUGAAUAUCACUUUUAUUUUAUGCGAAAAUCUUCAUUUUGAUAAGGUAAUAUGACAUGCCCAAUACAUUAGGACACAACAAGUUAAGUUCCCAAAAAUGAUUUUUGUACUCAUGCAUUUUGAAUAAAGAAUAUUCUCGGUUAUUUAAGAUUAACAAAGAAAAUCGGAACCCAAUACGUUAGGGCUCAAUUUCCUCGAAAAUCCCAAACUUCAAAUAUUGCUUUAAUUCAAAAUAAACCUUUAAUUAAGAAAAAAUGAUUUUCAUAUAUCGAAAAAAACCAAGAUUUAUUUUCCAAAGGGUAUGUUAAAAAUUAAUGUACAAUUUGAAACAAAUAUUUUAAUUUAAAAUAUACAUGUACAUGUAUUUACAAAAUAUGUAAACACAAGCACAAUAUACAAGUAAAUUUGAAAAUAUGUGUAUGCAUAUAUUUAACACACAUAUACAAGUAUACGUAUGUAAAAAACAUGUAUAGCAGAACUUAUAAUAAUCUCUAAAAAUAUGUAUGUAGAUUUCAAAGAAAAUACGUAUAUGUACAAAAAUAAGGAAAAUACAAAUGUAUUGUAAAAUAUAAGUGUACAUACAUAUAUACUUAUUUAUAAAAACUAUGNNNNNNNNNNNNNNNNNNNNNNNNNNNNNNNNNNNNNNNNNNNNNNNNNNNNNNNNNNNNNNNNNNNNNNNNNNNNNNNNNNNNNNNNNNNNNNNNNNNNUAAAGAAAAAAAAUAAAAAUGAAAGACCAUUCAAGAUCUUAUUUUUCUGCUCUCUUUUAUUAUCAUUUACAACAAACAGAAGAUAAAUGCAAUAGGAGUAAAUUAGAAACACAGUUUCACCUUCAAACUUAUUUGUAUUUUUCAGUAUCUCUGUGUGUUUUUGCAUAUAUCCCCCCUUUUACAGAUUUUCAAAGGCUUUUAUAGCCCGAAAAAGAUCAAAUACAAGUACUAUUUUACUGUUUCUUCUCAUUUGGACUCUUUUGAGUCCGUUUUUUGCAGGUACUGUGCGCGCGAAUGACGCGUGUGGGGAGGCCGAUCUCCGAGUCCUGCGGCGACUGGACGCUUGCUGGAGGCAGGGCUUGCGGCGCUACGUUGUACUAGGGUUUCCCAACCCUUCCCUUUUCCAUUAGUUUCGGGCCUAGGCUGGGGUCAUUGGGUAUUGGGUUUUAAUUUUAUUGGGCCUGCUAUUGUAUUUUAUCAUUGGUAGGGCCGGGCAAAUAAUUCGUAUUACAACUGCCCCUCUUUGCUCGUUAUCGUGUGACGAGAAUGGAGCAAAGACUUAAAAAGACCAAUUUUUGCCUGGCCAUAUAGACCUUAGCGUUAGUAGCCUCGUUCCUUCCUACUGCAUCUUCAGAGGUAUAGGAACUGGUGCUUCAAUCUACUCCACUGGAAUGUCAGGGAGAUAGGAUUCAUACGUUGUAGCUUCUCAAAAGAACAAAAUUUGCUAUCUUUAAUAUGUUCCACUGCAACUUCAGGGAGAUAAGACUUAUAGCUUCAACUUGUUCUGCUACAACUUAAAAAUACAUCUGAUGCGAUCCGCGCUACUGCAACUUCAGAGAGAUGAGAUCAGCGGUUUUAAUCCACUCCACUGCAACUCCAAGGAGAUAGGACCGGUUAUUUCUGUCUGCUCUACUGAAACUUGAGAGAGAUAAGACUUGUAUCUUCGAUCUACUUCGCCACCAGGAUGGGAAGACAAGAUAUGCUCUCUUUGAUCUACUUCAUGCCAAUACAUGAAGACAAGAUCUGCUUUCUUUGAUCUACUUCACGCCAAUACAUGAAGACAAGAUCUGUUUUCUUCGAUCUUCUUCACGCCAAUACAUAAAGACAAGAUCUGCUUUCUUCGAUCUACUUCUCGCCAAUACAUGAAGAUAAGAUCUGCCUUCUUCGAUCUACUUCACGCCAAUACAUAAAGACAAGAUCUGCUUUCUUCGAUCUACUUCACGCCAAUACAUGAAGACAAGAUCUGCUUUCUUCGAUCUACUUCACGCCAAUACAUGAAGACAAUAUCUGCUUUUUCCGAUCUACUUCGCCGCCAGUAUGGGAAGACAAGAUCUGCUAUCUUGAUCUACUUCAGGCCAAUACAUGAAGAUAAGAUCUUCUAUCUUCGAUCUACUUCACGCCAAUACAUGAAGACAAGAUCUGCUUUCUUCGAUCUACUUCACGCCAAUACAUGAAGACAAGAUCUGCUUUCUUGGAUCUACUUCAUGCCAAUACAUGAAGACAAGAUCUGCUUUCUUCGAUCUACUUCACGCCAAUACAUGAAGACAAUAUCUGCUUUUUCCAUUCUACUUCGCCACCAGUAUGGGAAGACAAGAUCUACUAUCUCUGAUCUACUUCACGCCAAUACAUGAAGACAAGAUCUGCUAUCUUCGAUCUACUUCACGCCAAUACAUGAAGACAAGAUUUGCUAUCUUCGAUCUACUUCACGCCAAUACAUGAAGACAAGAUCUGCUUUCUUCGAUCUACUUCACACCAAUACAUGAAGACAAGAUCUGCUUUCUUAUAUAUACUUCGCCACCAGUAUGGGAAGACAAGAUCUGUUGUACUCGAUCUACUUCACGCCAAUACAUGAAGACAAGAUCUGUUGUACUCGAUCUACUUCACGCCAAUACAUGAAGACAAGAUCUGUUUUCUUCGAUCUACUUCAUGCCAAUACAUGAAGACAAUAUCUACUUUUUCUGAUCUACUUCGCCACUAGUAUGGGAAGACAAGAUCUGCUUUCUUUGAUCUACUUCAUGUCAAUACAUAAAGACAAGAUUUGCUACUUUUCAACCUGCUCCACUGUUGCUCAGGAUGAUAAGGCUUUAUAAUUUCACCGAUCUGUUCUCUGUGGAACAUGACCUAUAUAAUUCACUUUAUGAACCUAAUUAUGCCUAAUGAUUAGGAUGUCAUGAACAGAAUGAAUCAAAUGCUUCUAACUAGACAUGUGUGAAUGACAUUUGAAUGAAUGCAGAAUGUCAUUUUUUAGAAUGAUUCAUCCUUGUGACUUAGGUUAUCAUUACUCAAAGUUUAUUUAAAGUUUCAUCGCUAAAGUGCUAUAGCGCCUUCUUGCUCGGCUGGCGUCUCCAAAGAAACACUUGACCAAAUUGCCCCCACUGUAAACUUCCAAGUUUUAUCCACUGGGAUGAAAAAUUUGUACCAUAUUUCUCCCGUUGUAACCCAAAAGUAAAAAGAUUUGGCCUUUUCUCAAUCCUCUGCUAUCACAAUUCAAGGAUACAGAAUGUGAAACUCUUUGGUCUCUUACACCAUUCCCAGGGUGUUACACCAAAUGCUCAUGCAAAAAUGAAGAAUUCUUCUCAAAGAACAACUUUUUCUUAUUAUUCGGUGAUCAUUGCUUGCUUGUUCAUUGAAGCUUUGUCACCAACACGACAUCUUACCAUUUUGUUCAUUCAAUACUUUAGACAAGAAAAUUCAAAGGGAUAGUCUUAGUUUAGACUCUUCCUUAUUAGAUUUCCAACCUUUGAACCUGGUGCAUUCUAAACAAUAGUCCUGCUUGAGGUUCCUAUAUUAUUUAGAAACUUCUAGAGUAAUAUGCAUAACUUCCCUUGUGAAAGUUUUAUUAGUCCAUUAAUCAUUAUUCUAAUGCAACAUGCUUGCAAAAAGAUCAUAAUAAUGGAUAAAAUAGAGUUGGUUUUGAGCAUAGCUCGAAAUGAAUAUAUAAUAAAGAUGGAUAACAAAGAAACUGAUUUAGGAAUGCGUAUCUUGGAAAUGAAUGAAGUGUUCCAAGAAUAACAAAAAUGGUAUAAGGAUUAGGUGCCCCAGAUAUCAUAACUUGAACUUCUCUGUACAAAUUUUCUGAAGACCAUUCUGAAUUUAACAUGUGUUUAGGAGAUCUAUAGUACUUUGUCGAUGCCCCAAAAUGUCGCCUACCCUUUCCUGUUGAUUCAAGUAUAGCAAGACCACUGCAUGCCCCAUUCUGAUCAGUAUUUGAGCUGCUCUGACAAUUGCAAGCACCAUUUUGAUCAACAUUUGAGCCGCCCUUUUUGGGUUUUCAACUCAAAUCCCCUUCGGUCUAAGGCGCCCUUUGCGAGUUUUCACCUUAGCCUCUCCACUUUACUUUUCCGUUCUUCAUUUUUCAUUUUCACUUUUCAUUUUCAUUUCAUCAUUUUUUUACGACUCAAAAUGCCCUUUGCGGGUUUUUAGCUUGGUCAUCUCCUUCUUUAAGCGGAGUAUUUCCAGACUGAAUCUGAGUUUACAGGACUUUGCAGGUUUAUCAUCCAUCUCGAAAUCAAAGCUCCUUUGGAAAAGACCUUCUCUAUAACAUAAGGUUCUUCUCAAUUUGGCAUCCGCUAUAUUUUUUGUAGAGUGAGGAUAUUCUUCAGCAUUAGGUCACCAUCGUGGAAUUCUCUGGGACAAACCUUUUGCUAUUGGCUCGCAUCAUUCAUUUCUUGGUACAUCUGACCAUGAUGAAUAGUUUCUAGCCCUUUUCUUCAAUUAGGUUCAACUAAUCGUAUCAAGAUUAGAUCUUCAUCCUACUUCAGCUCAGUCAAAACCCGAAGAGAAAGAACUUCAACUUCAAUGAAAAAAAAUCGUGAUAAACUGAAAAGAGUGGCAUUGCCCCGGUAGAGUUUUCACUGCACCAUUCAUGAUAUUCACCUUGAACAUACUGCAAAUUUUUGAUAUCGUGUUGUUGUUCAGAUUGGAAUAACAGUGCUUAAACCGGGCACAUCCUGGUAUGACCAUACGAAGGUUUCUUUGAAUGCUUGAAGUAACUCAACGUCUUGCUUUGUUUUUUCGGUCAUGCAUGUUCCCUCAAGGUCACAGUCUCUAUUGUCUCCUCAUGAGGUAAAAUUUCCUUCCUGUUCUACCAUCCUUAAUAAGUCCAGAAAUAGGCUACAAUCCAUGUCAUUUUCAAAGUCAUAGAAUCCCUCUAAACACAUGUCUCACUCAAAAGGAGAUCAGAGUCUGUAACAGUGUCAAUCAUGUCAUUGAUAUCCAGGGACUUAUUGUAGGUGCCAAAGAAUAUACAAAGAAUAAUAUAAAUGAAUGAAUGAAUGGUUUGGCAGGAAAAAAAAUCCAACAGAAUGAAAGAAUCGUAAAGAAUGAAAGGAUAUUUGCUCAAAGAUGAUUGCAAUGAUGCAUUUUAUAAUGUUCAGACAUGAGCCUAUUUCAUAAAGAAGUUCUUAUUGCUUAUAGGCUAAAAGCAACAAGUGUGUUCUGAACAUUACUCUAACAGAUUCUAAAUACUAUAGGGUUUCCUCUGCAGUCUCAUUAUUUAUAAAACCUCCCAGGUGAAUAUCUAACAAGGACCCUUUUAGUUGUCUCUGCACAUAUGGCAUCGAUGUGUAAAUUUCUCAUCACUUCUUCAUACAUUGCAGUCCAUCCAUCCUCAAUCAUGAUUGGGUAGCGGAUUUCCUGUGCUAGACGAGUCACCAAACUUGACAAUACCCAUGUUGAUAAGUCUUUCAACUUGCUUCUUGAAAGCAGUGCAAUUUUCAAUCGAGUGUCCCUUAAUUCCUGCAUGGUAUCCACAUUAUGUGUUCGCAUCAUACCAUUCGGGAUACGGAGGUUGUAGAGGCUUCACAUGAAAAGGGGAAACAUGUGCAUCAAACAAAUUUUGAUACAGUUCCUUAUACGGUACUGGGAUUGGUGUAAACUGGAACUUUUCAAUCUUUAUGUCGGAAUCUUGCCUCGAUGAAUUCUGUUGAUUACCAACCACCUUUCUUGGCUGACUCACAGUAACUGAUUUAGAGUAACCCGUGUUGUUCACCUCACUUUCUCUUCUUUUUGAGACUGACCUCUUGUUACUCUCAUCUGUAUCAAUUUUCCCGCUUCUUAUAGCAUUUUCGAUCAUUUCACCAUUCAUAACUAUGUUAGAAAAGCUUUUUGUAGCACUUCCUAACAUAUGCGUAAUGAAUGGGGCUUUUAGCGUAUUGACAAAGAGCAUUGUUGUUUCUUUUUCUAGUAGUGGUGGUUGAACUUGAACAAUUACUUCCCUCCACCUUUGUGCAUAUUGCCUAAAGCUCUCAUUCAGCUUCUUUUCCAUAUUCUGAAGGGUGAUUCUGUCAGGAACCAUGUCUGUUACAUGACUGUAUUGUUUCAUGAAUGCUUGUGCUAAAUCCCUCCAUGAACCAAUCACGCUACGACUCAGUUGAUUAUACCAUUUAGAUGCUGCCCCUGUGAGGCUAUCCUGGAAACAAUGAAUCAAUAACUGGUCAUUGUUAACAUAUCCAGCCAUUCCCCUGCAGAACAUGGUGAUAUGUGCUUCUGGGCAACUUGUCCCAUUGUACUUUUCGAAUUCUAGCAUCUUAAACUUAUGAGGGAGUACCAAAUCCAGAACUAAACUCAGCUCUUUAGCAUCAAUCCCAUAAUAGCUUUUAGUGACUUCCAUCGCCUUGAAUUUCUCCUCGAGCCAUUUGCACCUUUCUUCUAACUGCUUUGGUAACUCUUCAUUUAUUCUUUCUUUUUCAGCCACUUCAUCAAAGUCAGGAAUGGCGAAAUUAGCAUGGUGGUUUCUGAGGUUAGAGCCCGAUCCAGCCUGGAAGUUUGAAGCACCGGCCUGGAAAUGCUGAGGCCUGAUUGUGACAGUAGAUUUGUGCGGAUAUUCAGCUUGAGUUCACACAUGUGGAGGAGUAAAGCCUAAAGGAUAGAGUGAUUCAUCCUCGUUACCCUCUUCGAUAUCAGCCAUGGGACCCUUUCCUUUAUCACCCCCUCCAAUCAACAGUUGGGUCAACUUUGUCAUCAUAUUGUUUUGGGAUUCCUGCAUCUUCUCUGACAUAUCCCGUUGCAUCUUGUCUAACCGCUCCUGCACUAGUAACUGGAGUUGGUCUUGCAUUUCUUUCUGGUGCUGUUCGAGCUUUUCCAAUCUCUGAUCCAUGUCAUUAAUCUUUGCUCGAGUGUCAUAACGGUGUUUAGUUGGUUGGUCGAUUUCCAGGUUAACUGAGCAAUGAUUUUAAUUAAUUAGGAUCAUUUAACGGUGUCUAAUGCAUGUGAUGUAAUGAAAUGCAAAUGCAUGAAAUGAAUGCAAAAAGAGACGUUGAUUCUGGUUCAAUUCUUUACUAGAAAAACUUCGCUAGAAAACAAAUCUUUUUACACAAAGCGGAUAUAUAUACGGCUUCACCCUCGUACUCCAAGCAAAGACAUCGACCAUUCUGGUAUUAAGAUGUAUCUCGUGAAUUUGAGCUCCUUCUUGUUUGAUCUAGGUCGUAACUCCUUGCUCACUCACGUUCAUUAUCUUCUUUAAGAGGUUGAAACCUUUGAUGACUUUUGAAUAAUCUUUGGCAGUUUGAAUCCUCGGGUUACGCAGCAAAGUCGUAUACUCCUCUUGUUAGGUUUUUCGUGUCACAUUUUCUUAGACUAUACUCGGACAACCGUAUUAUCUUUCACCUUAUCAAGAAACCUAUUUUCCGUGGUAAGUUCUCUAUUUAACAACCAAACAUGAAUCAACAUCUCUUUUCUAUAAUGAAAUGCCAUGCAGCCUAAAUGCCAUGCAGUCAAAGUGAAACACAAAAAGUCAAUAUUAUGUACAAACAAUCAAAACACUUAUUCAGGUGUCUACUAGGGUUCAGUGUAGUUCUACCUAGGGCAAGUUCCUAAAGCUCACUAUAUGAGGCUUAGUUUCUAGAGUAAGCGUACCCGAACCAGCAGAUUCCUCGAUCCUCACCCAUUAUAGGCUCAUGUGGAUCGAGUUCAGUUCAGGGGGAUACAUUUCCCUAUGGCUGCACGGAGAUGAAAAUCUCACGAAGAAAUAGGUACGGAUGUAUCCCGAAAGCGGUCCACUACCAUGCACAGAGGUGAAAACCUCACAAAGGACUAGUUUCUCGCUCCCACUUAAAGGGUAAAACUGACCAUGUAAUGCAAAAAUGCAAACGCAAAUGCAAAGUAGCCAACAUUCCAUGAUAAAAGAUCAAUGAGCGUGAAAGGAAAUCAUGAUUUUAAAACCCAAUUUUGAUUUUUCGAUCAUAAGACAUAAAAUAACCAAUUUAUGGCUCGACUCUCUAGUGUCCCUAGUGGAGUCACCAAGCUGUCGAAACCACCUUUUUGAAAACAAAAAUUUUAGUUGUCGACUUUAAAAAACAAAAACUGGAGUCGCCACCGAUCCUUUAUUAAGGUGUGAUCGGCUCACCUUAAAAAUUAUUUUGGUCUACGAGUUUUUUGAGAAAACGAGUUCGGGAGUCGGUUACGCACGAGGAAGGGUUAGCACCCUCGUAACGCCCAAAAUCGGUACCAAAUUGAUUAUUUAAUGUCUUAGUGUCGAUGGCUAAAAAGAUUUUUAAAACAACUCAAAUGAUGAAAUCUGAAAAGGAUACUCAAUUGUUCAAGUCAUGUAAAGAAAUCGAGUCCCAAUACGUUAGGGUACAAUUUCUCAAAAUUCCCGAACUUUGAAUAUCACUUUUAUUUUAUGCGAAAAUCUUCAUUUUGAGAAGGUAAUAUGACAUGCCCAAUACAUUAGGACACAACAAGUUAAGUUCCCAAAAAUGAUUUUAGUACUCAUGCAUUUUGAAUAAAGAAUAUUCUCGGUUAUUUAAGAUUAACAAAGAAAAUCGGAACCCAAUAUGUUAGGGCUCAAUUUCCUCGAAAAUCUCAAACUUCGAAUAUUGCUUUUAUUCAAAAUAAACCUUGAAUCAAGAAAAAAUGAUUUUGAUAUAUCGAAAAAAAUCAAGAUUUAUUUUCCAAAGGGUAUGUUAAAAAUUAAUGUACAAUAUGAAACAAAUAUUUUAAUUUAAAAUAUAUAUGUACAUGUAUUUACAAAAUAUGUAAACACAAGCACAAUAUACAAGUAAAUUUGAAAAUAUGUGUAUGCAUAUAUUUAACACACAUAUACAAGUAUACUUAUGUAAAAAACAUGUAUAGCAGAACUUAUAAUAAUCUCCAAAAAUAUGUAUGUAGAUUUCAAAGAAAAUACAUAUAUGUAUAAAAAUAAGGAAAAUACAAUUGUAUUGUAAAAUAUAAGUGUACAUACAUAUAUACUUAUUUAUAAAAACUAUGAAAACAAAAAUAAGGAAAAAAUAUAUAUAUAAUAUAAAAUAUAUAAAAGUUAAAAGAGAUAAAAUAAAAAAAAAUGAAUAAAACGUAUGUAAAAUGCAUGUAUUUAUAUAAGUUUUAAGAAUAUAUAUAUUAUAUAAAGAAAAUUGUAUAUAUACUAUAUAUUAAAAAUGCGUGUAUACAUAUAGAAAUAAUAAUAAAUUAUAUAGUAAUAAUUUUAAAAAUUUAAAUUUAUAAAAACAAAUUGCAAAAACCCACACGCGCAUUACAUGGGGGGCCAAAAUGGAAAUAAUCCCUCUCCCCAAACGGUGCGUUUACAUAAGGAUCAAAAUGAAACAAAAGCAAAGUGUGCGACCACAUUUAAAAGAAACAAAAACUAAUUUAAAAACGAUUUUAAAACUUGAAGGACCAAUUGCGCAAAUGGACCAUUUAAAGGAAUACGCGCGGAUCCUGGAACCGGGUCGUGUCAACGCGCGGAUCUCCCCAACCAAACGGCGUCGUUUUGCUAAAGUAAUUUAAAACAAUUUUCCUUUUAAAAAAACCAUUUGCAGCAGAAAAGAAAAAAAACAAAUCUCUGCUAGGGUUUUCGACCCAGCUCUCCAUACCGCCGCCGCCGCCGGUCUAGGCCAAUCCACGGCCUCCGUCGUCCCAGUCUCCGAUCGUGACGGAGAUAGCAUGAACCGCGACAAAGCCAGGUAAGAUCCCUUUUUUUUUUAAAGAAAAAUACUAGGAAAAAAAAUCGAGAAAAGAAAUUGAAAGAAGGAAAAAAAAUAAAAAUGAAAGACCAUUCAAGAUCUUAUUUUUCUGCUCUCUUUUAUUAUCAUUUACAAUGAACAGAAGAUAAAUGCAAUAGGAGUAAAUUAGAAACACAGUUUCACCUUCAAACUUCUUUGUAUUUUUCAGUAUCUCUGUGUGUUUUUGCAUAUAUCCCCCUUUUUACAGAUUUUCAAAGGCUUUUAUAGCCUUAAAAAGAUCAAAUACAAGUACUAUUUUAUUGUUUCUUCUCAUUCAGACUCUUUUGAGUCCGUUUUUUGCAGGUGCCAUGCGCGCGAAUGACGCGCGUGGGGAGGCCGAUCUCCGAGUCCUGCGGCAACUGGACGCUUGCUGGAGGCAGGGGCUUGCGGUGCUACGUGCUGCUAGGGUUUCCCAACCCUUCCCUUUUCCAUUAGUUUCGGGCCUAGGCUGGGGUCAAUUGGGUAUUGGGUUUUAAUUUUAUUGGGCUUGCUAUUGUAUUUUAUUAUUGGUAGGGCCGGGCAAAUAAUUGGUAUUACAGGUUUUAUUUAUUUGUAUAUUAAAAUGUCAUGUCAUUAAUUUCCACAAGGUUUAACGGAAAAUAAUGCCACAUAGAUAACAGUGUUAAUGAUACGGGGAAAAUUGAAUCAAAAUUAAAAUUUUAUAUAUAUAAUUGUAUAAAAUUAAAAUUUGUGUAUAUGAUUGCACACUGGGUCAAAGUUGAUGUAUAAUUUUGAUAUUUAUCCCUUUUAUAAAUUUAUAAAUUAUAUGUUUUUAAAAAUAAUAAUUUAAAGAAAUGAUUUUUUUUAAUUAAAAAUAUAUAUAAAAUUACUAAAAGCAAAUUUUAAAAAAACUUAAACAAAUGUUUUGUUGAUGAAAGAAAAUUAAUCAAAUCUGAUCAUACUCAUAAGAUAAAUGAUUAUUCAUUUCUUUGCUUAUAGAGAAAUAAUUGAUUGAUUAAUUUCCACUAUUUGUAAAUAAUGUAUUAACUGUUAACAUUACUUGGGUGCUACUUACUUUCCUUCAUAAUUCAUUUUUAUUUUUGAGCUUUGAUUGACAUUAUUAUAUCAUUAAAAGUAUUUUAUGGAAUAAUGAUUGUAAAAAUUAUUCAUUCUUUUAGACACAGUGAAAAUUAUUCGUUUGUUAUCAUGAAUUAUUCAUGGUAAAAAUUGUAUUUCUUUAGAGAAUAAAUUAUUUGAUUUCGUAUAGAAUGAUUAUGUCAGGAUUGCUGUUACUUAUUAAUGUUAUUAUUAUUAUUAUUAAGAAAUAACAAAAUAUAAAUGAUAUUUCUACCACUAGAUAAAGAAUGGGCAUGCAUUUUAUAAUGAUUCUUUUUUCAUGUGAGAAAUAAUGUGGCUAUGUAUGCCAUUUAAUGGAUAAUUUCAUUUCCACACGUACACCAGCUACGCAUUUUAUUCCACAAACUCGUCUCAAAAGGAAUUGGAUUUACAUAAUUUUUUUAUUUAUUUCGCGUUUAAAUUACUUAUAUUUUUUUAUCUUUAAAUUUAAAAAUGUUAUGUUUUUAAAGACUUCAAACUUACCUUCUUUAAAUUAUUGCAAUAUUGUACUAAUAAAUUAAGUCUCAAUAAAUUACUCAAUUGGGACACAUCCACAAACAACCCUCACCGACUACCUACGUGCCUUGUACCCCUCACGAGAAAGAUCAUCCUUCCUUAUCACCCGAUCGAGUAGGUUCUCUGUUAAGCUGUCUGCUAUUAAUGGAUAUGUUCUCCUUAAAGAGGAGAUCAUCCGAGAAUCACUUUACCCUCCAUUUAAUUCCUACCUUAACUUAGGGUCCGAUUGAGCCCUCACCUCUCUUAUAAAUACCCUAAGAUACCACUUAGUAGGGAGACUCAUCUCUAUUCACAAAACCCUAAGGCCUCAUUUGGUUGGGUUGAUACUCGCGUAUUAUAUUUAUUUAAUACGCUAGUAUUACGUAACUUAUAAAUAAUCAUGUGUUUGGUAGAGGUGUAAAUUAAUACAUCAUAUUUUUAUAUACACAAGUUAUACACAAGUUGGGUGAUAUUUAUCACUAAUGUAAAGAUGGUAUUUAUUUAACAAGUGUGUUUUGUGAGCUAGUUCUAUUUUUUUUCAAUUAUACCCUCAUAUAAUUAAAUAAAUUACAAUUCUCAACCUUACUUCAAAAUUUCUCAUAUUUACCAUAAUUUCUCAAAUUAUACAAGAUUUUUAACCUAUACCAAUACUCAAAUUUAUCCCCAAAGCUCAAAAAAUUUUGGUAAAUAAGAAAAAUUUUGGUGUGAGCUUUGAAUAAAUAAUAGAAAUGCAUACAACUUUUCGUAUACUCCUCUUCUCUACCUAAUCCAAGACAGGGUAAUCUGAAAACUCAUUUCUUUACUUUACUUUUAUUUAUUUUCAUGACAUAAAUUAUUUUUGAAAAAACUCAUUCGUAUUUUUCUAUUUUAACUUCAUGGUUCAAGUUAGUUUUUUGAGAUAAACAAUAUGUUGACAUUACUUUAGUUUUUUGAGAUAAACAAUAUGUUGACAUUACUUUGCUUGCAUUAAUAGUUUUAUGAUUUUGAUGUUUUUUUUUGGGGGGUUUUGUUUAUUUUGUCAAAGAGUUUAUCUUUCUUUGUUCUUUCUAGGUUUUUUUUUUUUUUAAUCUUAUAAUCUUAUCUCAUUCUCAAUAUAAAAUUUUGGGCUUUGAAACUGUUGCCGUGGAUGAUGCUCCAUGCUCUUAGAAUGACAAUUUUAUAGAUCCAAACUCGCUUAAUUCAUUGAAAGAUGAAGUGUUUAGUGUGGUUUUGGGUUUUACAUCUCUGGGAAUUUUAUAGAGUAAGUAGUGGUCAAUCAGUGCAGACUAGUUUUCUAUAAGAAACAAGAUUGAAAGCUUAAUGGUUAAAUAUUCAUUUCGUCCUCUAGUUGUCCAGUUUUCUAAAUAAAAAUCGACCCAUAUCAGAUUUUGGGAUAUAAAUUGAAAAAAGAAAAUUAUGUCAUGAUUUUAACCCAAAACUCAAUUUGUUUCAAACCAACUUGGCUUGAACCUACGAUGCAAUAUUAACCACAUAAACAUAAACUUGCGGUAUUGUCUGAGAAUUUGGAGGUUUACCCUCGUAAUUUGUCUUUAGAAGAAAAAUAUACCUUUGUUUCCAAGUCCUAGUCGAGAGUUCAAAUCAAAUUGAACCAUUGCCUUAUGUAAAACUGCUGAAAAUUUUAAUUUUUAGGUCUGGUUAGGAUUAUUUCACUCUUCUAAUGCAAAAGAAAAAAAAGAAAAAGAAACCACAACUCAUUUGUUAGCUAAUUGAUUAAAAUAUUGUUAUAGGAUUAGGAUUAUUAAUUUUAACUAUUGCUACUUCAUAAAUGGUAUUAUUUUUUUUGUGUGUUAUAUUGUUGGGUAUAGCUUCUGUUAUUGAUAUUAAAAAUAUCUUUGUAUAUCAUUAAACAAUUGUAGUUAUUUUGUAAAAAAAAAUUACUCAUUUCAAUUUUAGUAUUCCAAGAAGUAUGAGUGGAUAUUUUAACUUAAUUGGGUCUAGGGAUCGAAGGAGGAUGAUACUGGGUAUAGUAAGUCAUUCGAUUAAGAUGAUGACGCUAGUAAAUUGGUGCUUUGUUCACCUAAUCAUAAAGGAACAUUUAACUUCUUUAAAGGACUGUCCUAAGACACCGGAAGAAAGAGAGAACAUGGGAAAGGUUUAUUCGGCAGUAGAGAGUCUCAUGUAUGUCAUGCUAUGCAUACGUCCAGAUAUAUGUUUUGAAAUGGGGUUGGUAAUAUGAUAUCAGGCAAAUCCAAGAACAAGGCAUUGGCAAGAAGUUAAGCAUAUACUCAAGUAUUUACGGAGAACGAUGGAUUAUAUGCUUGUGUAUUUCGGAUAAGACCUUACUCCUAUCAGAUAUACGGAUUCUAACUUCCAAAAAUGUUGGGAUUCGAGGAAAUCGACAUUGGACUAUGAUUUUGUCCUAAGCGAUGAGUCUAUUGUGUGGAGAAGUGUAAAGUAGACCUGUACUGCUGACUCCACUAUGGAGGCCAAAUAUGUUGCUGCUUCUGAGGCUACAAAAAAAGUAAUAUGGCUUCGAAAGUUCCUCAUGAAUCUUGAAGUCGUUCUUGGUAUGAAAAAAGUUAUCUCACUGUAAUGUGACAACAGUGCGGCAAUAGUUAAUACUAAGGAUCGAAAUGAGAAACCACAAGAGGACGAAACAUAUCGAUUCAAAGCAUCAUAUAAUAAGGGAGGUAGUUGCAGACGGAAUAGUGGAUGUAGUCAAGGUCGCAUAUGAGGAUAACCUUGUGGACCCAUUUACCAAAACUUUACUAGCUAAGAGCUUUGAGAAACACGCGGAGAGCAUGGGAAUGCGACACGUGAAGAGCAUGGGAAUGCGAAAUAUAGCUCAUCUACUUCACUAAGGCAAGUGGGAGAUUUUUGGAUUUGGUGCUCUUACUGUAGUAUAUUUGUUUGUAAACUUGUAAUUUUUUCAAACAAAUUGGUUAAUAAAACAAACUUCAUCGAUUACAUUAAUAUACUUUGUCUAAUUGUCCACAUGGUUUUUGCACGCAAAGAAAACUGGAAGCAAAUGUUGCUCGUUAGUUGUCUAAAUGUUUAAUUAAUACUAAGUGGUAUUACAUUGUCGGAUUGUAGUACGGAUAGAUAGCUUGUAUUAGUAGACGAACUUAAACAUGUCCUUAGUCUAAUCGAAAAUGAGCAAAUUGAUUAAAAAACUAAUAUUUCGUCUAACAACUCCAAUUGGGUAGAUGUCUUACCUUGGGCAUCCGAGCGAAUGGCUCCCAGAAGAUAGAGACAUAGAUGUGACUAAUUGGACUGGCAGUACAUCGGACAAGAUCCAAGCAAAAUAGAUUCCAGAAGUAGCUCGUGGUAACCCGGAAAACAUCAAGGAUCUGUUUAUCCAGAAACACAGGUACGAAUUCAGUUAAUGUUUAUUGCUAUAAAUAUCACAAACUGAGUUGGUUUUCAAAAUUUUAAUUUCCCAUUGUGUAAGAAAACCGUUUUCAAACCAGGUUUUUUCUAACACGAUGAUGUCUCAGAUUCUACUCCUUUUAGGAUAAGAUGUAUUUGAGACUUUUGUGAUAUGUAUAGAUAUGACAUUUCUCACCAUACAAAUAAUGCCUCUAGAUCUCUAAAGCAAACACCAUCGCAGCUAGUUCUAAAUCGUGCGUCAGAUAAUUGCGUUCAUGCAUUUUUAGCUGACGAAAAGUAUACGCAACUACUUUAUUAUCCUUCAUUAGAACACAACCUAAGCCAUUCAACGAGGCAUUACUGAAUACCAUAUAUUCCUUUCACUGGACACUCCAAAACUCAUAGCGAGCUUCUCCUAACCCAAAAAAUCAUGUUGAAAGUACUUGAUCCUGAAUUUCUAAUUAUUAUGUCCAAAUCGGAAAUAGGAGAAGUUGCUUCGUGGAUUAAUUCUUGUCCACUAGAAAUUAGAACCCAUACGGCAAGGCAUACAAGCACUCCAACAAAGGCAUUGCUUCACCAAAUUGACAUCUCGAUAUACACUACAUCGAAAGCUCCUCCAUCUUUCUGGUCAAGUGGCACUCACUAGGUUCUAUAGAGGAUGGCACCAGCGGCCCCACAUUGAUCUUUUAUAACGAUAGUUUGCUUUAUGAUUUUGACUUUCUUGCAAAAAAAAUAAUUAUUCACGCUUUAAUUAACAAGUGAAUUAAAAUAUGCUUCAAGUUUUUGUACUUUUCAUAAUUAAAAUUUAAAAUUUAGAUCUAAUCAUUUAUUAAUUUUUUUAUUAAAUUUAAAAGUGUGUCAUCUUAAAAUAUAAAUAAAAAUCCUUUAAUAGUCAUAUAACAAAAAAUGACGUUAUAAACAAUUUAAAUUUAAUAACAGUGUUGACACCAUUUUUUUGACAAAACAGGGUCGACUUGGAGUUUAAAAUAAUACGAAUGUGGGAGUUGCCACCAAUCUUUUUUAAUGAGGUGUGAUCGGAUCACCUCGCAAUUUAAUCGUUUUAAUAAAUAGUUUUAUUUAUUAAAACAUUAUUUUUCGGUCUACAAAAAUCCAUACAAAACGAGUUCGGGAGUCGGUUACGCACGAGGAAGGAUUAGCACCCUCAAUGCAACCAAAAUUGGUACCUAGUUGAUUAAUUAGUGUCUUGGUGUCGAAAAUUAAAAACUCGAAAAGAAUUUAAAAAUACGAUCCCUCUUUGUAUUGCGUUAUUUCAAAAUUACUCGAAUAAAUCAAAAUGAGAAAUGCCUCCUUAUCUCGAAGUAACAAGAUGUCACAUCCAGCAAAUUAGGGCACGAUACCUCGUAUUUUUGAGAGUAAGUUUGCCUUUUAUUUUUUAUUUAAACCUCAUUUAUUUCAAUUUUAAAAGGAUAUUCAGUUAUUUAGGUUCAACGUGAGAAAAAUCGAAACCCAGUAAGUUAGGGCACGACUUCUCGGAUUUCCAAAUACGAAAUAUUGCCUUUAUUAUUUUUUAGAAAAAAUUCUCGUCUCAAGAAAACAACGUGUCAUAUCCAAUGCGUUAGGACACAACGUAUUGAAUUCCCGAUAAUGAGCUUUUUAUUUAUGUUUUUUGAUUAAAGAGCAUUCUCGAUUAUUUAGAUUCAACGAAGAAAAUUGGAACCCAAUAUGUUAGGGCUCAAUCCUCUCGAAGAUCCCAAAUACUGAGUAUUGCCUUUAUUUUCAAAAUUUUCUCUUUUUUAUGAAUUUGAAGAAAAAAUUGAUGUAAUGUUAAAAAUGACAAUAAUGAAUAUGACGAUGUGAACAUAGAUAACACGAGCAACCACAACAAAAAUAAAGAGAAAAAAAAAAGACAAAUUGAUUACAUAUAAAAUAACAAGUAAAUAAGCUAAUAAAACUUAAACAUUCUUUCAAAAUAAUGAUGACAAUGUAAAUAAAUAAAUGAAUAAAAAUAUGAAAAUAUAAAAAGAUAUAUAAAUAUGUAUAUAUUUGUAUGUGGAAAUUAUAAAAUAUGUAAAAACAAAACAAAUAUAUAUAUAUAUAUACGUAAAUAAAUAUAUAUAUGUACAUGGAUUAUAAAAUAUAUAAACAACGUAUAUAUAUAUAUAUAAAUUAUAAAAUAAAAAUAUAUGUAAAAAGGGUACAUUUCAAAAUAUAAAGAAUAUAUAAAUAUGUAUAUAUAUAUUCAUGAAAAAGAAAAUGUGUAUGUAGAUAUAUAUAUAUAGUUGUGUAUAUAAAUUAUAAAAAUAUAAAAAUAUAUAAGCAUGUAUAUAUGCAUGUAUAUAAAUAAGUUAUACAAAUAUGUACGUAUAGGUGUAUAUAUAUAUGUUAUAAAAGGCAUGUAUAAUGUAUACAUAAAUUACAAAAUAUAAAAAGUAUAAGAAUAUGUUUGUAUAAAUCAAAGAUAUGCAUAUAUAUAUAUAUAUAUAUAUAUAUAAUUAAAUCUAAAAUUGAAAGGGUAUGUAUGACUAGCUAAACAUAAUAAUAAUAUUAAAAAUAACAAUAGGAAAAAUAAUGACGGCAUUAUUAAAAUUAGUUAAUUAAAUAGCAAAAAUAUAAAAGAUUAAUUUGAACUGAAAAUAGAACUUUAGGACGAAUCUGCAAGAUAAAAAGGGAUCUUUUUGAACGCGCGCGCAGCAUAAAGUGACCAAAAUGGCAAUUUUCCUCAACCCUAAAACAACAUUGUUCAAAAAGGGACCGAGUUGAAAACACAAACAAAAACGGGGUAAAAUUGCAAAAGUAAAGAAUAUUCAAUUGAAAAUACAGAGAAAAGCGGAAGGACUAGGGUAGCAAUUAUACCCUAGUCACAAAACACGCGGAUCCUCCAGUUAAAUGGGUCAGUGUCGGGUCAAGAGCCCAAAACGACAUCGUUUUGGGGCUUUCCUGACCCUUCCAAAACGACGUCGUUUCCUGCAUCUUAUUUAAGCCCCAUUUUUUAAAAAAAAAAUCAUUUAACUUCUUUCUAAAAAAAAAGCAAACAGUCUCUCUCAAAACACUCUCACCUUCCCCCCGUCCGACCAAACUCUGGCUAGGAUACCGGUGGGGGUUCCAGCGCCGUCGCGCAGUGGCCAGAAAUCCUAAAGCGACCCCUUUUUAACCGUUUUAAUCCCGAGUGACUCUGAUCUACCCUAAAAACUGGCUAAAAGCCUUCAAAGAUCAAAGGAAGACCGAAAAACUAUUCGGUUUCCUCCCCUCCGCCCACCAGCAAGGUAAGACCUCUUUCUCUUUUCUUUAUCUUGUAUAUGUAAAUAUGGGAAAAAAUUAAAUAAAAUUAGACUAGAAAAUGAAACAAAAAUUAAGAGAUGACAGAAGAUGUAAACCUUUCAAGAAUUUUUUCUAUUGAUUUUUUUUCUCUGAGCAUUCGAUGCCCCCUUUCAAAAAUUACAAGAAAUCGGCCUUUAUAGCCGUUUAAAAUAACAACAUUUUUCUUUUAUUUUUUUCUGCGUUACUGUUUCUCUCAUGUUUCUUUGGUUUGUUUGCAGGCGUUGACGGACGCGGAGAUUUUAGCUUUUUGCCGUUUUGGUAGAAGGCUGCAGAGGGGGUCAGGCAGGCCUCGGGACGAAGAGUGGGCGUUGCGCCCGAGGAGGAGCGGCACAGAGGUUGGGGCUAGGGUUAGGUUUUUCUGAAAAUGUUUUAAGCUUUUGGGCCACUUGGGCCAUUAGGGUUUUCUGUUUAUUUGGGCCGUUGGGUCAUAUUUUAAAUGGGUUUAAAUAGUUGUAAAUGGACUGGACUAUUUGUAGUUUUUUUGGUUUAUUUUCUAUUUUUUUAUUUUCUAGCGGGAGGGAAAAUUUGGGCUUGUACAGCUGCCCCUUUUUGCUCGUUGUCUUGUAGCGAGAACAGAGCAAAGACUAAGAAAGACCAAUUUUGCCCAGUCUCGCCAAAUCUUGACUUCUUUGAAGCUCCUCUUUUUCUAGUAGCUUCAUUCCAAUCUACUGUGUCUUGUUGCUUCGAUCCACUCUACUGCACUUCAGAGAGAUACGACAUGUAGCUUCAACCCACUCUGCUACAAAUUCAAAGUGACGAAAUUGGUUUCUUUUGUCUGCUCCACUGCAACUUUAGGGAGAUAAGACUGGAUGCGAUCUGUUCUACUGUAACUUCAGAGAGAUAAGAUCUGUGGUUUUAAUCCACUCCACUGCAACUUCAAGGAGAUAAGAUUUGUUUCUUUCGUCUGCUCCACUGCAACUUCAUAGAGAUAAGACUGGAUACGAUCUGCUCCACUGCAACUUCGAAGAGAUAAGAUCUGUGAUUUUAAUCCGCUCCACUGCAACUUCAGGGAGAUAGGAUUGGUUUCUUUUGUCUGCUUCCUACUACCUCGAGAAGAUAAGAUUCGUCGUCUUCGAUCUGCUCCACUACUGCUUAGGGAGAUAAGAUCUACAAUCUUCAACCUACUCUACUGCUACUCAAGGAGAUAGAACUGGUGGCUUAAAUCUGAUUCCCACUACGUCGGGAAGAUAAGAUUUACCGUCUUCAAUUUGCUCCACUACUGCUUAGGGAGAUAAGAUCUACAAUUUUCAACCUACUCCACUACUGCUCAGGGAGAUAGGACUGAUGGCUUAAAUCUGCUUCCUACUACCUUGGGAAAAUAAGAUUCGCCAUCUUCGAUCUACUCCACUACUGCUUAGGGAGAUAAGAUCUACAAUCUUCAACCUACUCCACUGCUGCUCAGAGAGAUAGGACUGGUGGCUUAAAUCUGCUUCCUACUACCUCGGGAAAAUAAGAUUCGCCGUCUUCGAUCUACUCUGCUACUGUUUAGGGAGAUAAGAUCUACAAUCUUAAACCUACUCCACUGCUGCUCAAGGAGAUAGGACUGGUGGCUUAAAUCUGCUUCCUACUACCUCAGGAAGAUAAGAUUCGCCGUCUUCGAUCUGCUCCACUACUGCUUAAGGAGAUAAGAUCUACAAUCUUCAACCCACUCCACUACUGCUCAGGGAGAUAGGACUGGUGGCUUAAAUCUGCUUCCUACUACCUUUGGAAGAUAAGAUUCGCCGUCUUCGAUCUGCUCCAUUACUUCUUAGGGAGAUAAGAUCUACAAUCUUCAACCUACUCCACUGUUGCUCAGAGAAAUAGGACUGGUGGCUUAAAUCUGCUUCCUAUUACCUCGGUAAGAUAAGAUUCACCGUGUUCGAUCUGCUCCACUACUACUUAGGGAGAUAAGAUCUACAAUCUUGAACCUACUCCACUGCUGCUCAGGGAGAUAGGACUGGUUUCACCGAUCUAUUUUCUAGGGAACAUGACCUGUAGGAUCCCUUUCACGAGCCCAUUUAUGCCUAGUGAUUAGAAUGUUAUGAUCGGAAUGAAUCAAAAUCUCCUAACUAAAUGUGCAUGCAUGAAUGCAAAAUGUCAUAAAAAUGAUCUAUUAAUGUUUGAGUUGUUAUUGCUCGUUAUUCAUUAAGGCUUUAUCACUGAUGCCUUCUUGUUCAGCUGGUAUCUUCAACAAAAAAAACUGAAGAAACAGUUGCAAUUUAGACUAAUCUUUCUCAAAUGCUUCCAACCCUUAAGUUGGUUAGUUCUAAACAAUAGCCCUGUUUCAGGUCCUCGUACUAUUUAGAAGCUUUCAGAGUAAUAUGAAGAACUCCUUUUGUUUGAAUAUUGCCAGUCCAUUAAUCGUUAUUUCAAUGAAAAAUGCUUAAAAAAUAUUAUCAAAAUGGACAAGAUGAAAUUUUGUUGAGAGCAAAGCCCGAAAUGAAUGAAUUAAUCAAGAUAGAAAAUUUGCUAGAAUACAAAAUGAGGAUAAAUUAAUUAAUAUGGCGUAUUUUGUCAAAAAUACAAAAAAUGAAUAAAAUGGAAAUAGGUGCCCCCUUCUCUGCCCCAAACAUCUUGAGGACCCUUUUGAACUUGAUAUGUGUUUAGAAGUCCUAGAAGACUUUGUUGAUGCCCCAAGAUGUAGCAUCUCUCCUUCUUACUAAUUCAGAGAGGACAAGACUACCGCAUGCCCCACCUUCGAUCAAAAUUUGAACUGCCCAUUCCUGGGUUUUCAAUUCAAAACCCCUUUGGUCUCAAGGUGCCCUUUGCAGGUUUUCACCUUGGCCUCUCCUUUUUCUUUUUUCGUUCUUCUUUUCUUUUCUUUUUUUUUUGUUUCUUUUUUCAAAGUGAAGUAUUUAUUGCUUGAAUCAGAAUUCUCAAGAUUAGGCAGGUUCUUGCCAUCCAUCUUGUUCAAUAUUGAUGCUUUUUCAGAUAAGGCCUUCCUCAUAAGGUCAUUUCUAGUUUGGCAUCCACUUCCUUCUGAAGUUCAUUUGUAUGGGAAUGAUCUUCUUCGAUAUCAGGUCCUCCUCAUGGAAUUCUCUAGGGCGAACCUUUUUUGGUGAGCUCGCAUCAUUCGCUUUUGGUACAUUUGACCAUGACGUAAUGCUUUCAACCUUUUCUCUUCAAUCAAAUUUAACUGAUCAUAUCGGGCCUAGAUCCAUUUAGCUUCAUCCAACUUCAGCUCUGACAAGACUCGAAGGGAAGGAAUAUCAACUUCGAUGGGCAAAACUGCCUAUGUUCCAUAUACUAAUGAAAAAUGAGUUGCCACCGGUAGAGGGUUUUAUUUUUUUUAUGUUUUUGUUUUUUUGGUUUUUUUUGUUUUUUUACCUCCACUGUACCGUUUAUUUUGGGUCGACAUGGUGUUAAUCUUGAACAGACUGCAAACUUCUGAUGUCAUGCUGUUGUUCAAAUUCAAUGCAUUGUCUGAUAUGAGUCUUUUGGUAUUCCAUAUUGACAUAUGAUUUCUUUUUCAGGAAUUUACUGACCGUCAACUUUGUGGCAUCGGCAUAUAAAGCAGCUUCUGCCAACUUAGCGAGAUAAUCGAUGACCAUAAAGAUGAAUUCAUAAUCGCCAAAAACCUUAGGCGAGAUUGGCUCAAUGACAUCUGUGCCCCACAUAGAGAAAGGCCAUGACUUCCAUUGAUUCUUUAUAAGGUAGGAUCUUGUUCUACCAUCCUUAACAAAUUAGGAGAUAAGCUACAGUCUCAGUUAUCUCCAAAGUCCUGAGGUUCCUCUAGACACAUAUCUUGCUCAAAAGGAGGUUCUGAGUCAGUGGCAGUGUCACUCAUAUCAUUGAUAUUUGGAGACCUGCUAUAGAGACGAAAGUAGAUCCAAAGAAUAAAAGAAUCUAAGAAUAUUUAUCUGUAUAGUAUGAUUAUGAAUGAAAUGGAAACAAUAAAAGAAUAUUUGCUCGAAUUGAGAAAUAAAGAUGCAUUUUAUUGAAAUAAAGAUAUUGAACAUAAGUCCAUCUUACAAAAGGAUUCUUAUUGCUCCUAGACUUAGAGCAAUAAGCGUGUUUGUGACAUUACUCCGAAUUAGCUCUAAAAGGUAUAGUGAUCUCUACCAUAGUCCCAUUGUUCAAAACACUCCCAAGUGUGUAAAGGCAAACGUCUCAUAAAUCCUCUUCCCCAGCUCCCUAUUGGGAAGUUGCGUUAACAUUCAAAUUCCCCAACAUUCCUCUUGGGGCUUUGGUUUCUUCAAAGAAUUUCAACUCUUUAUUAUCCAUUAGUCUUUGCACCAAGGCUUUAAAUUCAGCGCACUCCUGGAUUUCAUGGCCUUCCUCAGCGUGGAACUUACAGUAGCUCAUCAUCCUUUUUGGUCUCUUCUUCAAAUUCUAAAUGAUGAAUCCCAUGUCUAUCAUUUGUUUCAAAACCCAUUUCAGUGGGGUUUUUACUUCUGCAACAUUGGUUUUGGUAUUCUUCCCUCCAUUCUCAAUUAUCGCGUUUACCCUUGGUCUGAAUGACUGGGUAAUGGAUUUCCUGCCAUAUUAGGUCCAGAUGGAUCGCCAAAUUUUACGAUGCCCAUCGUGAUGAACCUUUCAACUAGCUUUUUAAAUGUAGUGCAGUUUUCAAUCGAAUGUCCCGUUGUUCCCGCGUGGUAUUCGCAUUGGGCGUUCGCAUCAUACCAUUUCGAGAACAGAGGUUGUAUGGGUUCUGAGUAGAACGGAGCUACUACAUGCGCAUCAAAUAGAUUCUGAUACAACUCUUUAUACAUCAUUGGGAUUGGCAUAAACUGGAGUCUUUCAGUGCUUGGCCUCGAGUAGGAUUCUUGCUUUGAGGGGUCUUGAUAGCUAGCAGCUGCCGUCAUUGGCUGGCCUAUAGUGACAGAUUCUGAAUACCCUUUAUUAUACAAGCUCAGGUUGGUCACUUCAUUUUCUUUGUUCUUUGGGGUUGAUCUUUUGACAACUUCCCCCGCAUCUAUCUUCCCACUUCUUAUGGUGUUUUCAAUCAUCUCUCUAGACAUUACUAUAUCCGAGAAGCUCAUGGUAGCACUUCCUAACAUGUGGUUAAUGAAUGGCGCUUUCAGAGUGUUGAUAAAAAAGCACUGUGGUUUCUUUCUCCAGAAGAGGUGGCUGGACCUGUGUCGCUACCUCUCUCCACUGUUGGGCAUAUUGCCUAAAGCUCUCACUUUGCUUCUUUUCCAUAUUUUGCAGUAUAAUUCUAUCAGGUGUCAUAUCUGCCACGUGGCCAUAUUGCUUCAUGAAAGCCUGUGCCAAGUCUUUCCAUGAGUAGAUAUUGGCACAGCUCAACUGGUUGUACCAUUUGGUAGCCGACCCGAUCAGACUAUCUUGGAAGCAAUGAAUUAACAGUUGAUCAUUAUCAACGUAUCCUGUCAUUCUUCGACAAAAUAUCGUGAUGUGAGCUUCAGGAAAAUUAGUCCCGUUAUAUUUUUCGAAUUCUAGAGCCUUGAAUUUCGGCGGGAGUACUAGAUUUGGGAUUAAACUUAGAUCCUUGGCGUCAACCUCGCAAGGGUAAUCAGCAUUCUCUAUUGCUUUGAGUUUUUCUUCCAACCACCUAUACCGAUCUUCAAGUUACUUUGGCAGUUCUAACCUUGCUUUUUCUAUUUCUGCCAUUUCGUCUAAAUUAGGAACUGCAGGAUUGGUUGAAUUGUUCCUUGGAUUGGAACCUGAGCUUUUCGGGUAGUUCAUUGGUGCCAAGGUAUCGACCUGAUAUCGUUGGGGUCUGUUAGUAGCGGGUGUCCCUUGUUGAUGCGUGUCGGGUUGGGCCUGGAUGCUUAUUGUGGUAAAACCUGAAGGAUAGUCAGGGUCUUCAUUAUCAUCCCCUAAAUCGACUAUAGGGCUUUUUCCUUUAUCAUCCCCUCCAGCCAAUAACUGCGCCAAUUGACUCAUCAUAGUUUUUUGAGAUUCUAGCAUGUCUUGUUUGAUUUUAUCCAAUCGUUCCUGCAUCUGAUCUUGCAUUUUCUUUUGCAAUUGUUCCAAUCUUUCUAAUCUCUGAUCCAUUAGUUUUGUCUUGAGACGGGUACCAUAGCGAUGUUUGAUUGGUUGACUCUUGUUGGUUUCCAGGUUAAUUGAAAUAAUUUUACCUAAUUAGGGUCCUUUUGUGAAAAUCUAAUGCAUAUGAUGCAAUGUAAUACAAAUGCAUGAAAUGAAUGCAAAAAGAAAUAGAGACAUUGAUUCUGAAUUCAAUUCCAUUAGAACAACUUUUCUAAAGAACAAAUUUCUUUACAUAAAAUGGAUUACAUAUGUGGCUUUGCCUUCAUAUUCUAGGUGAGGACAUCAAUCUUUUCUUCAUAUCAGGAUGUUAGGAUCAAUUCUUGCGAAUUUCCCAAAAUCUGUCUCUACUAUCUCCUUUUUGUUUGAUCCGAGCCACGACCCAUUACUUCCCUGCGAUGCUCUUUAGUUUCGUGACAGCUCUCGAACAAUCUUUGUCAGUUUGAAUCCUCAGGCAGUGACGCAUAGUCGUAUAUUCCUCCACGAACUUCCAGCCUUCUCUCGUUGUGUUUAAUCAGUCCAUAUUCGGGCAGUCGUAUUAUUAUAUUCCACUUUAUCAAGAAAUUCGUUUUCCAUGACAAGCUUUUCUAUUUAGCAAUCAAAUUUGAAUCAACACCUCUUUUCUAUGAUGAAAAUGCAAAGCAAACAAAACAAAACAAAACGGGUUAGUACAAAGCAAAAGUAAGCAAGAAAGGAACAAAAAGAGCACCUACUCAGGUGACCACUAGGGUUUGUUGUGGUUCUACCUAGGGCGGGCUCUUAGGGCUCACUAUAUGCGGUUUGGUUCUAAAGUAAAGGUACCUGAACCAGCAGAUUCCUCAAUCCUCACCCAUUAUAGGCUCAUAUGGAUCGAGUUCAGUUCAGGGGAAUACAUUUCCCUAUGGUUGUACGGAGAUGAAAAUCACACGAAGACAUAGGUACGAUUGUAUCCCGAAUGCGAUCCACUAUCCUGCACGGAGUUGAAAACCUCACGAAGGAUUAGUUUCUCACUCCUACUUAAAAGGAUGUGACCCACGGUCAUGCAAUGCAAUGUGUAGGAAUAUCAAAAGGCUUGAACCAAAAAAGUAAACAUAUUAAAUACCACAAAAACGACGGACAAAAUGCAACGAAAGGAUCGUACAUUUAAACCAAAUUUCCAAUUUUUGACAAAAAGACUAAAAUUAAUCAACUCGUAGUUUGACUCUCUUAUUUUAGUCCCUAGUGGAGUCGCCAAGCUGUUGACACCAUUUUUUUGAGAAAACAAGGUCGACUUGGAUUUUAAAAUAAUACGAAUGUGGGAGUCGCCACCAAUCUUUUUUAAUGAGGUGUGAUCGGAUCACCUCACAAUUUAAUCGUUUUAAUAAAUAGUUUGAUUUAUUAAAACAUUAUUUUUCGGUCUACAAAAAUCUAUAAAAAAUGAGUUCGGGAGUCGGUUACGCACGAGGAAGGAUUAGCACCCUCAAUGCGCCCAAAAUUGGUACCUAGUUGAUUAAUUAGUGUCUUGGUGUCAAAAAUUAAAAACUCGAAAAGAAUUUAAAAAAUACGAUCCCUCUUUAUAUUGCGUUAUUUCAAAAUUACUCGAAUACAUCAAAAUGGGAAAUGCCUCCUUAUCUCGAAGUAACAAGAUGUCACAUCCAAUAAAUUAGGACACGAUACCUCAUAUUUUUGAGGGUAAGCUUGCCUUUUAUUUUUUAUUUAAACCUAAUUUAUUUCAAUUUUAAAAGGAUAUUCAGUUAUUUAGGUUCAACGCGAGAAAAAUCGAAACCCAGUAAGUUAGGGCACGACUUCUCGAAUUUUUAAAUACGAAAUAUUGCCUUUAUUAGUUUUUAGAAAGAAUCCUCGUCUCGAGAAAACAAUGUGUCAUAUCUAAUGCGUUAGGACACAACGUAUUGAAUUCCCGAUAAUGAGCUUUUUAUUUAUGUUUUUUGAUUAAAAAGCAUUCACAAUUAUUUAGAUUCAACGAAGAAAGUUGGAACCCAAUACGUUAGGGCUCAAUCCUCUCGAAGAUCCCAAAUACUGAGUAUUGCCUUUAUUUUCAAAAUUUUCUCUUUUUUAUGAAUUUGAAGAAAAAAUUGAUGUAAUGUUAAAAAUGACAAUAAUGAAUACGACGAUGUGAACAUAGAUAACACGAGCAACCACAACAAAAAUAAAGAGAAAAAAAAAAGACAAGUUGAUUACAUAUAAAAUAACAAGUAAAUAAGCAAAUAAAACUUAAACAUUCUUUCAAAAUAAUGAUGACAAUGUAAAUAAAUAAAUGAAUAAAUAAAAUGAAUAAAAAUAUGAAAAUAUAAAAAGAUAUAUAAAUAUGUAUAUAUAUGUAUGUGGAAAUUAUAAAAUAUGUAAAAACGAAACAAAUAUAUAUAUAUAUACGUAAAUAAAUAUAUAUAUAUAUAUAUGUGUGUACAAAGAUUAUAAAAUAUAUAAACAACGUAUAUAUAUAUAAAUUAUAAAAUAAAAAUAUAUGUAAAAAGGGUACAUUUCAAAAUAUAAAGAAUAUAUAAAUAGGUAUAUAUAUAUAUUCAGGAAAAAGAAAAUGUGUAUGUAGAUAUAUAUAGUUGUGUAUAUAAAUUAUAAAAAUAUAAAAGUAUAUAAGCAUGUAUUUAUGCAUGUAUAUAAAUAAGUUAUACAAAUAUGUACGUAUAGGUGUAUAUAUAUGUUAUAAAAGGCAUGUAUAAUGUAUACAUAAAUUAUAAAAUAUAAAAAGUAUAAGAAUAUGUGUGUAUAAAUCAAAGAUAUGCAUAUAUAUAUAUAAUUAAAUCUAAAAUUGAAUGGGUAUGUAUGAAUAGCUAAACAUAAUAAUAAUAUUAAAAAUAACAAUAGGAAAAAUAAUGACGGCAUUAUUAAAAUUAGUUAAUUAAAUAGAAAAAAUAUAAAAGAUUAAUUUGAACUGAAAACUGAACUUUUGGACGAAUCUGCAAGAUAAAAAGGGAUCUUUCUGAACACGCGCGCAGCAUAAAGUGACCAAAAUGGCAAUUUGCCUUCAACCCUAAAACGACAUUGUUCAGAAAGGGACCGAGUUGAAAACGUAAAGAAAAACGGGGUAAAAUUGCAAAAAAAAAGAAUAUUCAAUUGAAAAUACAGAGAAAAGCGGAAGGACUAGGGAAGCAAUUAUACCCUAGUCACAAAACACGUGGAUCCUCCAGGUAAAUGGGUCAGUGUCGGGUCAGGAUCCCAAAAUGACAUCGUUUUGGGGCUUUCCUAACCCUUCCAAAAUGACAUCCCAUUUUUUUUAAAAAAAAUUCAUUUUACUUCUUUCUCAAAAAAAAGCAAACAAUCUCUCUCAAAACACUCUCACCUUCCCCCCGUCCGACCAAACUCCGGCUAGGAUACUGGUGGGGGUUCAGGCGCCAUCGCGCGGUGGUCGGAAAUCCUAAAGCAACCCUUUUUAACCGUUUUAACCCCGGGUGACUCCGAUCUACCCUAAAGACUGGCUAAAAGCCUUCAAAGAUCAAAGGAAGACCGAAAAACUAUUCGGUUUCCUCCCCUCCAGCCACCAGCAAGGUAAGACCUCUUUCUCUUUUCUUUAUCUUGUAUAUGUAAAUAUGGGAAAAAAUGAAAUAAAAGGAGACUAGAAAAUGAAACAAAAAUUAAAAGAUGACAGCAGAUGUAAAUCUUUCGAGAUUUUUUUCUAUUGAUUUUUGUUCUUUGAGCAUUCGAUGCCCCCUUUAAAAAAUUUCAAGAAAUCGGCCUUUAUAGCCGUUUAAAAUAACAACAUUUUUCUUUUAUUUUUUCUUGCAUUUCUGUGUUAUUGUUUCUCUCAUGUUUCUUUGGUUUGUUUGCAGGCGUUGACGGAGACGGAGAUUUCGGCUUUUUGUCGUUUUGAUACAAGGCUACAGAUGGGGUCAGGUAGGCCUCGGGACGAGGCGUAGGCGUUGCACCCAAGGAGGAGCGGCACAGAGGCUGGGGCUAGGGUUAGGUUUUUCUGAAAAUGUUUUAAGUUUUUGGGCCACUUGGGCCAUUAGGGUUUUCUGUUUAUUUGGGCCGUUGAGUCAUAUUGUAAAUGGGUUUAAAUAGUUGUAAAUGGACUGGACUAUUUGUUGUUGUUUUUGGUUUAUUUUCUGUUUUUUUUUAUUUUCUAGCAGGCGGGCAAAUUUGGGCCUGUACAAAGAGAAUUUUGAUAUUGUUAAUAAUUAAACUUAUAUUUUUAAAUCCGAAAAGUAAAUGAAUUAAAUUCUUUAAAAUGAAAAUGAAAAAACUAAAUUUAAAUGGGUGUUUUUUCCUAUUCUAAUUAUAAGGAUAUAGAUGAAAAUCUGAAAAUUGGAGUAAUCAUUCAUUUUUGCAGGUACUGUUUACACGAGGAAACAAAAUAGAAGUAGAUUUUAACUCUAAUGAUAUGAGAAAUAAAAGGAACCGAUAUUGUUUAUAAUGUAAUUAUGCCAGCAUUGAAAUAGUUAAACAGACUGUGAAGUGAAAAGAGAAAAGGCAUGCAUUCAUUCAUUAUUAACAUCGUGAACCACUACUUAUCAAUUUAAUAAUGCAUUGAUUUUACUAGGUUUUAAAAAAUAAUAAUUAAUUGUAUGUUUCCUUUUAUAAAUAUCACCAUUAAUUGGUGUGUCACAACGCACUAAUUAAUAUGUGCCAUUAAUUUUGACCCAUAAUUUAUUAAACACAAAAAAUAUACAUUCAUAUUUUAUUCUUAUUUAAACAAUAAAAUGAUGGGACCAAAUCCAAUUCAUAAAAACAGCCAUAAAAUCAAUCUUGGCUUUGGUCAUUAUUAAUUUCAUUGCAUCAUUUAAGUUGGAACUGUGUGAUUUUGCCCAUAAAUUGGGCAAAUGGAUUGGCCAUUUACCAUGAUAGAUUUGGGUGUCAAGCAAUGAAAGCAAAGUUUUUUUCCCAGUAUCUUACCAUAAAACCUUUCAUUAUUCACCCUCUUUUAACGACAAAACGUGACAAAAAGUGAACAUCUUAGGUUCAUGAUUACCUGUAUUUUUUACCAUAAUCAAUUCCAUUUUCCUAAUCCACAAAUAUAUUUGGAAUUUAAUAAACUCAAACCAAAAAGUCAAAUAUUGCUUAAUGCUAAACAAUUUAAACGGCAAAUUUACAGACGCGAAUCUGGUAGAAGUCCCUGCUCCCCUAAAAUAGAAAAUUGUUGUUUUGGUUCUUUAAAAAAUUUUAAAAUUUUAAAUUAGUAAAGGUAAAAUUACACUUUGGCCCCCCUCAAAUUAUGAAAAUUUAAUUUAAUACUUUAAAUUUUAUAAAAUAUAUACUAUUAAAAAUUAAAAUUUCAUUUCGGCUCCCUAAAAAAAAUUUUUGACUUCGCCCCUGCAAAUUUAUAUAAAUAUGCUCAAAAAAAUAAUUUUUAAAACUAUGUAAUUUUUUUAAAAUUUGUCAAUUUAUAUAUUGUUUUUGCAGAGAGAAAAGAAAAGGCGUCUUACAGUGUGUGUUUUCACUGAACUGGCAGAGAAAGCACGCUCUGUAGGACGCGUUUUCCUUUCACCAAAAAAACACGUAUUAUGUGGCAUGUUUUCUCUACCAGUUCAAUAAAAAUGCACCUUUUAGGACACGUUUUUUUUAUAGAAAUUAUUUUUUUUCUCGUUUUGAAAUUAAAAAUUUGUAAAUUUAUCCGGCCUUUGAGAUAGACAUUAUUAUAGUUUUAAGGUAUGUUCGAAUUUACUAUUUUUUUCACUGUAAAAGACACACAAACCAUAUACAACAUUAAUUUAUUAAAUUUUCAUUUAAAUCCUUCAAGAAUUACAAUGUUUGUAGCAUGACCCAACAUAUUCAAAAUCCUUAACUUAAACUUAUGUACAUGCAUCCUAAUUGUAGUAAACAAGAUAUAUAUAUAUAUUUUAAAUAAGUGUAAAUUGUCAAUGUAAAACAAAGUAAACAACUUUGGAAAAUUACAAAAAGACAUAAUCAUCAAUCCCCUGAACGUGUGUCACAACCAGGUGCACGUCAAGUACACCUAGGGUUCCAUUGCACUGUUCGGGCUGGCGACUCCAUUGGGGCUUCGACCUCGUCUUCAUGUGCACAUUAGGGUUGAUCUUUGGCCUGGUGCAUGUCGGGGUUGAUCGGUGACCUCAUCUCCUCCAUUCGUGGACGACUACAACCGUGUCCCAACUGCCUGUAGUGCAACCCCCUGAUCGAGUCAGCGUUUGUGAGGACAACCUAGCUUGGAAGAACAAUGAUGUUGGGUUUUUUUACGACACUAUCGGUGAGCCACUAUAUGGUGUCGCAUGGGGCGUGUAAUAAGCUGCGGGGGUGGCGGUCGUGGGAAAUAUACCACUAGAAAAGGUGUCGGUCUAAGAAAUGAUUGUGCGUGUUAUGGUGCUUGUGUAAAAUAAAUUGGCGAUGACUGUGUUGGUGCAGGGAAUGAUUGCACGUGUUAUGGUACUUGUGUAAAAUAAACUAGUGAUGAUUGUGUUGGAGCAAAGAAUGAUUGCGUGUGUUGUGGUACAUGUUGUGGUACAUGGUGGUGUAAAAUCAAAUGGGUUAGUCACAGGAAUAAAUAAACCAUACUGAUCAGGAGGUUGCACGAGAAUCAUGUCCACGUGUGCAUGUGGAGUAGAUGAUCUGUCUGCGGCAUGUUCUUUCGACAUGGGAUUGAUAGGCCCUCUUCCUGGCCUCUUAUGGUGACGUUGCCUACUCUUUUCUGAAGUGAGCAAUAGACACAACUUCUCAUGAUGCCUAAACCAAUCCAUGUAACCUAAAGAUGUCGCCAACUACGACGUCAGAUACGAUUCACGCGUUAGCAAGUAAUCGUAUUUGUGAUGCCACAACUCGAUAUACAUCUUGUGGAAUCUUGCUCAAUCUUCAUCCGGUCUCCCCCGCAUGUCGAUCUUGUGCAGGUCAUCGAGCUUCUGAGGUUGUCGCAGAAUAUGUUGCGUACACUCAAACUAUCGCAUCACUCAGUCGAAUUCGUGCAUCUCGACCAUUGCAAAAACAACCAAUGACACUUUUCCAUGCCAAAUGUUGCGAUUGGCCAAAAAUUCCUCCGGAAUGCAUUCUUAAGUCCUUAGAUUCGUGUAUGGCAUCCAUACGAACUGUAGUACAAAUUUAUAAAUUUUAGCAAGUUACUAAUAUUUAAUUUCAAAUGCUGGAAUAAAAAACUGAUAACCAUGAAAUUCAUAAACUAACAUCCUCCUCGAUUUCUUGAUCUAAAGCUAGUUGGAUGUCUUCGAGCUCGAUCGGUUUACCGUUGCGGCUCGUGGGAUUGUUCCACCUAUUCAAAAUAUAUGUUAUUUUAAAAUUACAACAAUAAAAAUUUCAAAACGAUAACAAUAUUAUCAAAUGAAUUUUACCAUAUUAUGAGUGAGAAUUCGUAAGGGACUUGCACUCGGGGGCGUAGAAAUGGUAGUCGAUACGAUGCCCACGAUUGAAGGAGCAUGCAACCGCCUAUUUUAGCUUUUCCCAGUAUCGUCACUCAAUACAUUUCUCGGUACAAUAUUGCCAACACUGCUGAUCUCUAAGUUGUCCCGCUUCUCUCAAGUCGGCCAGUAGUAGUAGUCAUUUCAAGUGUACCAAAUUGCAGGAUUUAUCUGACAUUAACAGACCCCCGAUCAACCUUAAGAUGAAUGCGCGAACGAAUUACUUGUUUUCAAUGUCACUCGUUGAAGCUUCAAUAGUUUGGAAGUUUUUCUCCAACCAUUUCAUCUCGAUCUGACUACCCCUAAACCUAUUCGUCACCUUCCCCAGUAGUUUCUCACAUGUUGCACUCCAAUCAGCACUAAAAAUUGGCCCUGUAACGACAUCCCCAUCAACCGGUAGACCAAGUUGUAAAUUGACAUCCUCGAGUGUAAUUGUACACUCGCCACAGGAGAGAUGGAACGUGUGUGUCUCCAAAUUCCAUCUCUCGACCAAAGCACUAAUGAGUGAUAGAUCCAAUUUAGUCCCCCCCCCCCGAACAUGCGAGUUGCAUAUAAAAAGCCUGCAUCUUGCAAGUGUCCAUGAAUGACCUUCAGUGCACCUUCGCUUAAGUUGUUUAUGUACAUCUCCAAAAUUCGAUCUCCGGCCUGCAUAUAUAAACAUAUAAAAUUAUUAAUCUAAACAACAUAAUAAUUAACUAUUUAAAAUUUAAUAAUUUGAUAAUAUUUUCUUAACAUCAUAAUAAUUAACAAAUUAAAAUUAAAUAAUUAAAUAAUAUUUUUUUACCAUUUAUAAUUGAACGUCGUAGAUGUGCUUGUCAUUCAAACGAAUAAACUGAUAUACCAUUGAAGAAUUAAUAAAAUAAAAUCAAAGAAUUAAGAAAAAAAUUUAAAAAUCUUUGGAAUUGGGAAUUUGGAUUAAAAAAUUGAGAAUUGACAAUUGAGAAUAACAAAUCUAGAAUAAGAAAAUUGAUAAUCAAAUUGUGGAAGUUGAGAGUUGAGUUGAAAAAAAUGAGAAUUUGAGGGUUUAUAUAGGGAAAAAAUGGUUGUUGGAGUCCCAUAGCCGUUGGGCUUUCUGCCCGUUGGGAAAAGUUACCGUGCCACGUAAGACGUAUUUUUUUCGGAAAAAGAAAAUGCGUCCCACGGGGCGCACUUUCUCUGCCCAGAGAAAGCACGUUCGAGUCAAGGGAACAGCCCCCUGGCCUCUGAUUUCCAUAUAAAGGACACGACGAGCAUAAAUACCCUUUUUAACUUCUAUUCUGAUGGACUGAAUAUAUUUCAUAAGGAAUCGUAGAAAGAUGCGACGAUUUUUUUCAGGAAAAUCCCAACGAAAAAUACAUACUAUUCCCUCUUUUCUAUCGAAUUGAUCAUAACCACUGCCUACAUUCCAAAAAAUUGUGCACCACAAAUAGGAACUAAUAAAGAGGCUUGCGAUCCCAUAGAAAGACAUUACUAUUCUUUGUGGAAAAAAAACUAUUUGAUGAGACGGAAAUAAAGAUAUCAAAUUCCUACCAAGAUGACUAAAAGUUCCAACUAAUAAAAACCUUAAUGAACCAAAAAACGGGAUAAAAGGCCCAGUAGAAAUUGCUUGUUUUUCGAGAUCCCACUAUAAAUUCUAUCUAUAUAGAUCCUGAUCGCCAACUCUAAGACGUGUUUUCCUUUCUCUCUCCAAAAAUAACAUAGAUCAGUAAAUUAUAGAAAAAAAUGGCCAACUUUCUCAAUUUUUAUUUUCUUUCAACGUAUUUAAAUGUAUUUUCCAAUUUAAACAUUAAAUAAAUAGUUAUAAUAUUAAAUCAGAUAAAUCUGGUGGAUAAUUUUUGUGUCUUUGGUAUGGCAUUCGUCUCCUAAAAUUGUUUAAUACUAAUAUAGUUUUAUUACGAUUUUCGUUGAGUUAAUUUUUAUAUUCUUAUUUUUGAGAAAUUAGUUUUUUUAAUUUAAAAUUUUAGAUUCAUUUUGUUAACACCAUUAAAAUAAUUUUCUUAAAUUCACUAGUAUGACAUCUUGAAAUUAAAAUAAAUAUUUCCUUGGUAUCCAUGUAACAAAAAAAAAACAGAAAAGGCGUUGCAAUGAACAUGAAUUUAAUAGAGAAUUUUAACGGUAUUAACAACUCCUAAAAUUUCACAACAACAUUUUAUGUUUCCACUUUCCAUAAUAAUAUCUUCAUUAAAUUAAUUAGUAAAAUAUUAGAAUAUAAUAUAAUAAUCUAUUAGUCAUAUUUCCAAUUCAAUGGCCAAGAUUUCUUCAUUUUAAAUACAGGCCAUUGGAUGAGAUUGAAAAAUAACAUGAAAUCUUAGCCAUUUGAUUAAAAUGUAUAUAUUUAUGUGAUUUAAAAUGGACGAAUAAAGUGUUAUGUGAAUAAAUGCCUUAGUGAGCUCAAAGGAUAUAUGAUAUGUGAUAAUGCAAUAAUUUUGGAGUUGAGAGGGGUUGGGGGUUUGGAUGGAAAAUAGACUGGUGUUGCAGGGGUUUGGAAGGGAUUAGGAGAGGAGAAAUGGGAUAUAUAAUGUGGUUAAUAGAGUUUUGUUAUCAAAGUUCCAUUAAAAGACAGGAGUUUUAUUUUGGCCUAGAGCUCUACAAUAUAUCGAAAUUAUUGAAACUCCUCUGAAACUCUCUAAGGACUGCAAAAGUGAUUUGUGAAAGUAAAGGUGUAUGUGUAAUAAUAUGUGAAAAUAAAGAUAAAAGUGAACAUGUGAAUUAAGUGUUAAAAGAUAUAUGUAAAUUAAGAGUUUAUGUUAUGUUUGUGAAAUGAGUGAAAGAUUUUGACAUGUGAAUGUGAAAGUUAAUUAGUGAUAAUAUAUGUUGAAGUUAAGACUAUAAAUUGUAAAGUUAAUUUAAAUGAUUUUAUCUUUUGGAAAAAGAAUUUAAAGUUUAAGUAUUUUAGUGAAAGAAACUAUGUGAAUAAAUGUUAUUAAAAUUUUAUUUAAAUUGUAUAUGUACAUAUAUAAAUAGUAAGAUUGAAUUCAGUUAAGUACUUACUAAGUUGUUCACGUAGCUUAAUGCGUUUGUUUUAAACAUGUAUAUGAUAUAUAAGUUUUGAAAAGAAUUGAGGAUUGCUACUUCAAUUCGGAUCACAUCACCCCUCAAACUUCAAGUUCAAGCCUUUUGGUAUAUAUAUAUAUAUAUAUGACUUUAGUGGUUUAUGAGUUAUAAAAAAAAAAAGAAUUAUGUAUGAAUAAUAAUGUUGUUUUAUAAAUUACCUCGAUUAUGAUUAAGUAAGAACAUGUUUAGGUGGUGAGUUUAGUGUUUCAAUGUAACAUCUCUUACUAGGAUUGAGUGAGGGAUGUUACAAUAAUAUUUUUAUAAUUUUUUCACUUUUAUUUAUUUAUUGCAAUUAUUUAAUAUUUUUGAUGAUUUUUUAUAUAUUUUUUUUAUGAUUUUAAGUAUAAAACAUCAAAUUUCGUCACGUGGUGAAAACAACCUCCCAAAAUGGUUGUCAUUACGCUUCAUAAGAUUGACGGUUAACUUCAACAAUCAAAGGGUUUAAUUUAUUGAAAUGUUAGCGUUUAAGGAUUCAAUUGAUUUAAUAAAAAAAAAGCUCAAAAGCUCUAAAUAGCCUGAUUAGUAUCCUUACAAUAUUUUAUUUUACAAUCUACUUCAAUAGGUAGAUUGAUAUAUAAUUAAUUUGUGAAGAAAAAACCGAAAGUAAAUGCUGUGUUAAAAAGAAGCUGUUGUAUUCCACAAAAAAUUGAAAAUAAAAAUUCCCCAUCAAGGAAUCCAAUGGAGUUUGUACCCAUCAUACUUCAAAUUCAUACAUAACUAAACCUUUUAUAUUUCAUCAUCAUACCUCGUGGAAUUUCAUUCCUAUCAUCACUCUUUUUUCUUUUUAAUUUUCUUCUUUUCCUUUUCCAAAAAUAUCCAAUUGGAUACAUAUUAACUUCACUUCAGAAAAUAUAACCUUUUUACAAAACAAUCACAACUUAUUUUUUUAUUAUAAAUAUUUCAAUUCCCUAUUCUUCUCUCUCCAGAAUUAGAGAUGUCAUCAUCAUUAUUUAUUAAAUUAAGCAUAAAUUGCACUAAAUAUCACUAAACUAUUACUAAAUUUAUAUUUUGAUCAUUAUAUUUCAAAGUGCUAUUAAAUGAUGAUUAAACUAUUAAAAAAUUCCAUUUAAGUUAUUGGGUUAUUAAAAUUGUUGUUAUAUGACCUUUUCUGUCUGCACCACCUACAUUAAUCCAAAGCUCUCUUUCCCUUUUUCUUUUACAAUUCAGUGACCAUUUUAUGACUUAAAUAAAAAAAUUUCAAAUAGUUUAAUUACUUAAAUGAAAUAUUUUUGAAUGGUUCAGUGACUUUUUGUUUUAGUUUAAUGUCAACAUUUAAUUACUUUUUUAAAAUAUUAAAAAUUAUAAAAAUAUUUUUAAAAUAUUAAAAAUCAUUAAAAUUACUAAAAAGUAUAAAAAAAUUUUAAAAAUUUUUAAAAAAUAAUUAAAAAUUGACAUGUCAUCCACAUGCACGCUACAUCAAUAAAGUUAACAAACGUUAACUUUUCUAUUCAUUUUUUGGUGAUUUGAUAAAAAAUGUAAGUUCAAGAGCUAAAAAAAAUAAAUGAAAGGCUAAAUCAAUUUUUUGAAUAAAAUUGGAGGGCCAAAAAAGAUAUUAGCUUAUUUUCUGAAUCGCCUUAAGGUCUAUCGGAGCACGAACGCAUAUGAAAUUAACUAUAGUAUAAGAAUAAAUCCAGUUUUACGAUAAAAAUAAAUGCUUGAUAUUUGUUUUUGUUUAGGUGUGUUUUGGCGAGGAAAUUGUAAGAGAAAUUUUAUUUUUAUCAAGAUUUUUAAAAUUUUUAAAAUUGGUUUAUUUGUUUAGGUAAAUAUUUUGAAAAUUUGUUAAGUUUAUAAGUAAUCUCAAUAAGAAAUUUUAAUAUCUCAAAUUCUUUUUUUAAAAUUAUUCCUAAUUUUAUUUGAUUUAAAACACAUGUUCCCACUAUAAUAUAAAAAUUUAAACUUCAAAGUUUAUUUUUAUUUAAUUAUAAUAUAUAUAUUUUAAAUUUUAUUUAAUUAAAAGUAUUUAUAUUUUUUGUACAGAAUUUUAAAAAUUCUUUAUCCAAACACUCUCUUAAAAAAUAAUAAGAAAUAGAUAUUUAAACGAGGUUUGUUGAUAUAAAAUGAAAAUGAAAAGGUACAAGUUGAAAGGAAGAUCCAGAAUACAAGUGGACAUUAAGAAUUUUGUUCAUGUAUUAAUGAUAAUUAUAUCUUCUUUAUACAUAAGAUUUCUCCUCAUUCCAACAGAUGAUAUGUCUAAACCAAAAGGAAGAAAAAAGAAUUAGAACUUCAAUGAUAUUAAAGUUUUCUAUAUUUCUACUUCUAUUUCACACUCCAAUACAAGUUUUUAGAUUAAACCAACUAUUUUUCUCCUUUGAGUCUUUGGACAAACAGUGUCACCAACUCCAUAUACAUCAACCAUCAGCUUCUCAUUGAUUUCCAAUAAGAAAAUUGAAAAUGAAAACUAAAGGAAAAGAAAAAAGAAAACCCAAAGUCAAGAUCACUGUUUUCUUUUGGUGUUUUUGAGUAAGAAAUGUGAGUUUAUCUUCAUGGUGAUCUCCAAGUUUGUAAGCCAAGGUCAUUAUGUUUCCUUGAAGGAACUGAAGCUGGAAUAGGGAAAUGUCUAGGCAAGAACCCUAAGAACUGACCUGUGUAAUGAGAUUUUGGGUGGAAUCUGAAAACCUUGGUGGUUCUUGAACCAUGGCAGUAGUGAACAAGGAAAGUGAGUAUUAAGAAGAGCCAGAGAAGUAGAACCACUUGCCUUCCGCAUUGAACCAUCAUGCACCUGAAGUCGUACUAGAGAGUAGAGUCACAAAUUAAGGAAAUGUAGAGCAAUGGUGUGAAUUGAUAGGGCUUUUAUUUGGAGGGUUUUGAUGAGCAAAUGGCGGUGAGAGAGAGAGAAGGUAAGAAACAUAUGGCCAAAUCCAAUGAGGGUCUUGUGUAAUGCAGUGAGAGAGAGAGAAAAAGAGAAAGAGGCAACUUUUAACACAAAACCAGAUGGUUUCAACAAGUAGCACUAGCUGCAGUAGGAGAAAUAUAUUUAAAAGCAAAUAGUUGAGAAGAUUAGAGAGAAAAAGUUGAUUAUUAAUAUUACACAGGACGUGAAAAUGAUAUAGCACUAAAAAUAUUAAAGGGUUUAGUUUGUUAGCUAAUUUAUUCCAUAUAAUUAUUCAAAGUUUGAACUACAACUUUUGGAGGAAAAAAACAGAGAUUUUGUGUUUGACAAAAGAAAUGUGGGGGCAAAAGUAAAGGUUUUAUGUUUUGUUGACUGUUUGGUCCCAUUUGAAAUUAAUAUUGGCAACUCUAUUAUUUCCUAGGCCUUUGAUUUGGAAGUUUACGUCCACUAUACAUCAAAUAUAUAUAUAAGGAAUUUUUUGUUCCAAAAACUCACUCCAUUCUUCUCUGCAUUGCAGACAGCUUUCUGCAACUUUCUUACAGCAUUUAUUAGCAAUGCCCGACCCACGGCCACUUUUUUUUUUAGGGACUUAUAUGGAAUCCAAUUCCAACAAGAAUGGAUAUUAUCUACCGUUAUGAAAUGUUGAAUUAUAAUUACCAAAAUUUCAUUUUUAAUUGUUUUUUUUGUCUUUUUCAAAUAUAAUAUUUUAUGAGGAAUUGAUUUAAUUAUUUAAAUAUGUUUAAUUACCAUAAAAUACGCCACAAUAAUAUUUCAGCUACAAAACCUAUUACCUUUCAGGUUGGUUGCAAAAUAAAAUUUGUAAUAUAAUAAAUUUAGAUACUAAAUAUUUUUAUAUAAUAGUAUUAUAAUGAUCGUCAAAUCUUAUUGUGUGAUGAUAUUUUAAUUGUUGCAUAUUACAUUGCACAAUGAUUAUUUUUCAUUGUCAGAAAAUUGUUCCGACAACCAUAAAAUGUGAUUGUCAAAUACUUUACGAAAUAAUAAUCAUAUAGUUGUUGAAAUUUUUAUACAAUAAUAUUUAUAUAAUUGUGAAAUGUUAAUUUGUAAUGACGUUAUAUUUGAUUAAGUCUUAUAUUACACCAUGAUUAAAUGUAAUUUUGUAAAGUCAAUUUCAACAAUAAUAUUAUGGUAACCAUUUAUAUUGUUUACAUUUUUGUCAAUUGGUCUUUAUUCUUCUUUUAUUCUUUUAGUUAAAUUUAGCUUUUUUUUUUUUAUGAAAUAGCUGGAUCUUUCUAUUGAGAACUAAAAACUCCAAAAAUAUUAUAGUCUCCCCUUCAGUGAGUGUUGCCAAUCUAUUUUCUAACUGCUUUGUUGCAUCUCCCGAAUCUUUCUUCACAACUUUAGACCACUCUAUAAGUGCGCUAGGAAGGGCCUCCAAUUUUGCUAGAUCAUUUGAGGUUGUCCCCCAAACUUCACGAAUAACAUCUUUAUAAGAAUCAUCCAAAACCCACCAAGCCUCGAAACUAAAAUUCUUUUUUGAACUAUAAUUUGCACCCUUAUUAGUCUUACCCAACAAAGGAAAAUGAUCCGAGAAAAAGUGAGAGGGUGAUCAAUCGAAAAAAUUAGAAAAAGAUUCAGACACCCAGUAUUUAUCACCCCUCUAUCAAGCCUUUCACAAAUAUUAGUCUUUGGUAAAUUUCCUCUUUCCAAAGUGAACCAAGGUCCUGAAUAACCACCAUCCACCAACUGACCGUCCUUCAACAAUUGUCUGAAAAUUUCCGCUGAUCAUCUCUAGGAAUACCACCUUGCUUCUCGUGCGAAUGUAAAAUUUCAUUAAAAUCCUCAUAGAUAAUCCAAGGCAUAUUACAAUCGCCUUUGAAUUUUCGAAUCAGCUCCCAACUACCCUGUCUAUCUCUUUCAACAAGAGAUCCAUAAAAAUCGGUAAAACGCUACCUCAAAUUAUCAACACCACCAAUAAUAUCGACAUCAAUAUAACUUUUUGAAAAACUUCAAAUAUGAACUAAAUCAUUCCAUUCCGCACAAGACUAAGCCCCCCAUGAGACCCUUUCGCCUGAACAUCAAUGCUAUUCAUAAAACCACAUUUUCUACAAACUUUUUCCAUCCUCUUACUAUCAAGUUUUGUCUCCGUUAAGAAGACUAUAUGAGGAUUAUGAGACUUUAACGGAAGGCGAAGCCUUCGACAUGCCUGCGUACUCUCAAACCAUAAACAUUCCAGUUUAAAAGUUUCAUUGCUUUCAAUCGACUUGCCUAAUGAUAGCCGCUGAUCCUUUUUGAAAUAGAACAGUAUCGUGCUCUAAAAUAGGUUUUAGCGAAUCUGAUAAAACAGAAACACCUAAACCUUCACCGUUGAACUUAGGCUUUUUCAAAACAUUCCCGACAAAAGAAUUAUCCAUCUCCUCUAAUUGCUUCGUAUCACACUUUCUUUUACCUCUCACUGUUUCCUCCAUAUACAUGCCAGAAAACUCUGUUCUCUCCACCCUGAGCCUACUUUUUUUUUUUUGGAAUUAUUUUCCUUCAUUUUCAGAGAAACAACGGGCCCACCCAAACACUUUCCGUUUUCCUCAUUAGCCAGCACAUUAAAUUAUGGAUAAAAAUUAGCUGCUAUAUCCCUAAAUUUUUGCUGCACAUUAUUUGAUUCCCAAAUAAUAGAAUCUUUUACUGAUUCCAUUUUCUUCUCUCUUUGUUGACCAGGUUUCGGCACCACCCUAGACGGCGAUUCACUACCUUUAUGCACAUCAGCCUUACCAGUGUAAUAACGUUGUUUCAUAGAUUUCUUUGUAACAGAACCAAACCUUUGGCUCUCUUUACCUAACAAAUUUGACUCAGCUUUCAAUGCAACUGAAUAUGGCUGCUCAUCCUCAACCUUCUCCCGUUCCUCAGGCUAGAUUUCAUUGCAUUCCUUAACUCCAUGACCCAAACGUCCACACCCAAAACAAAAUAUUGGCAGAUUCUCAUAAUUGAAAGAAAGCCAAACUUUAUCUUGAUUUCCCGUGGAGACAAAGAUCCCUCUCCUUAAAGGCUUUUGCACAUCUAUCUUAAUUUUUAAACGACAAAAUUUUCCUUUGUCCUCUGAUCGAACAAACCCUCAAAAUGUAGAUCCCACGGUAUGCAUCAAAUCAAAUCUUUCUUAUCAAACUCCGACUGGCACGGGCCAAUCUUAAGACAAAAAGGCGACCAAACAAGCCAAAUCUUAUUUCUUUCAAUAGGCUAGGUAAGCCUAUAAAAAACAAUCAAUUAUCUUCGAAAUAACCAUGGGCAUCCUUCCAAGAUCAACUCUAAAUCCUCUUCAUCUUCAAAAGAGAUCAAAAAUAAAUUUUGACCUACUACUUGGAUCUCAAACUUAUUUUUAGUUUUCCAUAUACUCUUAAGUUGUGCUAAAAAAUUAUCAGGAUUAUAAGAUUUCUUAAUCCAAACGAAAUAAAUCAGCAAAGAAUUUUUAUUUGGAACAACCAACGAACUUUUCACUGAAAGUUGAACUAGUUCUUCAAGAUGGGAGAUCUCAGCCUCUUCCAUCCUCAAAAGUCACCACUCAUCUCCAAUUCAACCACAAUAGAAAACUGUUUUUCUAAAAAACCAAAGAGAGAGCACUCUUGACUGGUUAUUAGUCUUUAAAAAAGAGUAAAAUUAUUUUUUAAUGAAAAUGGUAACUAAAAUAUUAUUUUUAAUGAGGUUGGCAUGUCAACUCGCAUGGCUAUCUAUGUAUAUUUUAUGUUGACAUGACAUUAUUUGUCUUAUAUAUAAUAUUAAAAAUUAAUUUUAAAAUUAAAAAAUAUUAAAAAAUCAAAAUCUAAAAUGUUCAUAAAUUUUUUCAAAAAAAAGUGUAAAGUACAUGAAUUACUAUGCGAGUUAUCAUGUUUAAAAAGUUAACGUUUUACUCUAUAUUUUCGUUACAAAAUGAUAAUUUAACUCUUUUUAAAAAGUCGAUAAUUAAAUUUAAUUUUUUUAAAAUGUUAAUAGUCAAAUUAAAAAAAAACAGACAACAAUAGUCAAAUUAACAAAAAUAAAAAAAUAAUAAUCUUUAAAGGCCCAAUAUUAGAGCUGGCACGAGUCGAAAUUGGAAGUCAAAGCUGAAGUAGUGGAGAACCAAUGUUGAAAGCCCAAAAUUUAAAAUUAUUUAGGUUGAUUGUUUAGAGCGUAGAUUCCAAAGUAUACUUAGUGCACGUUUGGUUCGCUGUAAUGGAAUAGAGUUGUAAUGUAAUAGGAGUGUAAUAAAAUAGAGGCGUAAUAGUAAUUCAAUUGUUUGGUUGAAUGGAAUGGAAUAGAACUGUAAUAGUAUUCUUGUGUUUGGUUGAAUGGAAUGAUGUUGUAAUAGCAUAAGGAAAAAAAACUAAAAUGACUAGAAUACCCUUAGCAGAAUUUUUUUUAGGUUGAUGAUUAUUGUUAUUAUUAUUAAAUUUUAAUAAGAUUAUUAAUAUAAGUAAUAAAUAAUUUAAUCAUAUUUUAACAUAAUUAUUAUUAAAUAUAAUUUAAUAAAAAUAUAUAAUUUAAUAAAAUUCUUAAUAUUAAAUAUUCUUAUAUGAAUUUACUAAAAUCAUAAUAUUUAAUACUAUAAAAUAUAAUUUAACAUAAUUAUUAUUAAAUAUAAUUUAAUAAAAAUAUAUAAUUUAAUAAAAUUCUUAAUAUUAAAUAUUCUUAUAUGAAUUUAAUAAAAUCAUAAUAUAUAAUACUAUAAAAUAUAAUUUAAAAUAAUUUUUAUUAAAUAUAAUUUAAUAAAAAUGUAUAAUUUAAUAAAAUUCUUAAUAUUAAAUAUUCUUCUAUGAAUUCAGUAAUUUAAUUUCUUAAACACUUUUAUAAACAAUUUUAAAAUUUAUUUGAUAGAAUUUUUCAAUACAAUUUGCAAUCUUUCAAGUUAGAUAUAAAAUUUUUAUGACCAACUCGAACUUGACAUUACAAUCGAUAUGAUAUUUAUUUUUAAAAUUUAUAAUAUUUAUAUUAAACGAUAUGAUUUAUUUCAAAUACUUCAUAUGUAUAUUCAAGUUAUUGAGAAUUUUACAAAAAAAAAAAAGCAAAAUAAAAAUUUUACUGAUUUAAAGUUUACAUUUAUCAAAUAGUACAAAUUAAAUAGAUAAAAAUUAAUUUGUAAUGGAAUGGGAGUAGUUACAUUUAAAAACGAAAUACCAUUGAUUUUCCACUUGAAGAAACUAUGAUAUUCUAUAUUAUAUAUACAUCUGUACAAAGAUGAAAGAUAAAACAUAAGCAAGUUCAUGGAAUUUUCCCAGCAAAGAAUAAGUAACAAAAAACCUACCUUUAUUUUGGCCAAAAAAAAAAACUACCUCUACAUUUUAAUGAAAAAAACUACCACCCUUUCCUUACACCUCUUUUGUUCUCCUUUCAACUUCAAAGGUAGGCAACUUUUACCCAUACAGGCCCAGUUUUAGCUGGCCGGUGGCAGAUAGCAGGUUUGGCAAAAAAAGAGAAAAGCACGAUCAUGGGUUUGUCUUGCGAGGUAGCAGAAUACUCGAAAAGAAGGCGUUUGGAAGGAGCAGAUUGUAGGAUCACACGUAGCCGACUUGUAAGCUGGUAAAUCAAGGUCCAUUGCAUAGCCAUCUCUGAGUCUUUCAACUGCCUAACUAUGGAGGCCUAUAAGAGAGACGGAUGGAAAUAUUAGAAAACAAAAUUAAACAAUGGUUAAUGGCUUUAUGUAAACCUAUUGAGCCACAUCCAAGUGAUUAAUAAACACAACCAAAGCACCCAAAAGCUGUUCACAAUGGUGUUAUGGCCACCUUCUUAUCCAUGCAUUGAUGCACUUGAAAGAAGGAAGAGCUCCUUCAGUAAUAUUGACUUGUGGGGAAAAGAUAAUCAAGGAUGAUGGAAUGUUAUUUACCUGCAGACGUUUACCAAGCUGGACUUCAACUUCUGUACCGAAGGAUAUAUUACUGGCUAAAGAUUUGAGAGGAUCAGCCGUAGGAUCAACAGAGAGCAGACUAGGGAUUUGUGGGGCAUACACUAGCCUCCAUCUGGCUUAUGCCGGCUAACCUUAUGCAUUCCCUACUACACUGGACAACUACGUUGUUAGACCGAUGGAGCACAAUUGGCAAAAAGUAAACUAUAUGAUAGAUUCAACUUUCUCAUUCCGUAUCAAGCAAAUUUGCACAGCAUGGGGAAGAAAAAUAUUUCAGUUUCUGAAUGGUCUAACUUUAUCCUUCCUUAACACACAGGCUAAUUCAUUGUAUAAAGCAAAAACAAGAAAUUAUUUGAUCAUCAUUUACGAAUAAUAAUUCAUUAAAUGUUAAUGUAGAAGAGUAAUGUGAACGCACAGGAGAUCUUAGUUGAGUUGCAACAAGAUUCACAUCACCAUUCUCAAAUGUUAAAAUGCCCUUGGGUUUAAUCCAUUUGGGAUGAGCUUGGCCAUUCAACUCGAGUUCCCCACUAACAGUAAAGUUUAGAAUCAAAGGAUAAACUAUCCUCAGUUCUGGUCCUAAAACAAGCUUCAAAUCACUAAGGCGGACAUCAAGACUUGGUUUAAUGUUUACUUGUUUCAUCUCCUUCUCUACAUUAGCUGAUUUAGCUGCACAAAACAAUAAAUGUCUAACUUGGAUGAUCAGAAACAAAUAAUACAGACAAAUUGACAUGCAGCCAUAGAUAAAAGGUUGUACUUUCAAAGAAAUUUAGUAAACAUAAACUGGUAUAUCCUUCAUUUCAGGAAAUUGAUAUUAUUUCUUAUUCUCUUUAACAAAAAAGCUUCACCUCAUCAUUAACCACCUAAUUUGUGCAGAAAAUAAGAACAAAAGCUAAAGAUAAGUUUAAGUUCAAUAGAAUCGAAAAGUAAGAUAUCCUAGUUUUAUAAAUGAAUAGACUAGCACAUAUCAGUUCAAUGAAAUUUCACCUAUAAAAAAUUUCUUAAAUCACUAAAAAUUUUAUUUUUGUUUUUCUUUCAUUUCUUGUCGCAAUCAAAGUAUCCUAUCUCUUAAAUUUUGGCAUCCAUUUGAGGUUUCUAAUUAUUGAAACACAAGAAGCAAAUACAGUACAAGAGAUUUUGCCUUGAAUCUCUUUCAAGUUAUCGAAGAACCUAACUGAAGGCAAAGGUCACCAUUUAGCCAGAAUGACCCCAAAACCAGAUAUAGAAUGACAUGGAAUGACCGCAAAACCAGAUAUUAACAUCUACCACAUCGCAUCAUCAGUUGUAAAUCCACUGGUUUUUCAGGAUUUAGCCAGAAUGCUCCAUGAGCACUACAAUUCAAGGCCUUUUCUCGACUCGAAAGCCAGCAAGGUUUUAAACAAUCCAACUUAAUACAGAAACCAAAACACGAACUCCAACAAAUUUCAAGAAAUGCAAAUAAACAGAACUCAACAAGAAAUGCAAAUUUCAACAAAUUCCAAGAAAUGCAAAUAAACAGAACUCCAACAAAUUUCAAGAAAUACAAAUUUCAAGAAAAAUGAAAUCGAUUUUACAAAAAGAAAAGAAAAACAGGGAAAGAGAGCGAGCAAAGUUUCGUUCUUGAUAAAAUGGUGAAAAGAAAAGAAACAUAAAGAGAAGAAAAGAAACCUAAGAGAAGAAGAAGCAGAAAUAGAUGGAAGGGAAAAAAAUUACCUUGCAAAAUGGAAGGGAAACGUGCCGAAAUUGGAAGGGAAAGCCGGCUCUCAAACCGUGGGUUGUAUCCAGAUGAGUUAGGAGUGGUAAUUACUCUCUUUAGUCUCUAUCUGUUUGUAUGCUUCGAUUAUUAUCUAAGGGGCAUUACCAGUAUUUCAUGACUGUGGAAAUGAAUAGAUUAAUCCAGGACACAAAAACAAAGAAAUCUGAUCUUUUUUUAUCAGCCAAAGGGUUAACAAGGAAAUCAAACAAGAAAAUUUUUCAUCUUUUCAAUCGAACAUGUAAUAGAAAAGAUUUGGACCAGAAAAUGGAAAUCAUAAGAAGAAGCAGAAAUCGAUGGAAGGGAAAGAGAAAUUACCUCUUGAAGGGAAACGUCGGAGAAUUGAUGGAACGGAAGGUAGAUGAGGGCAGAGAAUGGAAUAGAAAAUAGGAAACAAGGGCGGAAUCCCUAAUCGCCACUUCAAUGAGGGGAAUGGCUAUUACAGCCAAUGGAGGUAAGAGCCCCGUAACCGAAUCGGGCCGUAAUAGCAUUACGGGCAACCAAACGCCCAGCAAAAUAGGGGGAAUGCAUGCCUAUUCCCCCAACCAAACGCCCCCUUAGGGUUUUGAAACAAUUGGUUUGAGACCGCGGGGAUUAAUUAGUAGUUAUUAUGUAUUUUUAUAAUUAUAUAUUUAAUCGGUUUAUCUUCCUGGGAGAAAACCAAAUUAAAAAGUAUAUAUUUUUGAAGAUUCAAUUUUAUUUUGCUAAUCUAUAAAAAAGAGAACACACAGAUAGGAAAAACACCACACACAAAAUAUACCAUCUUAGAAGUCAGAAUACAUAAAAUACACAGGCACCCACCAAGGGUUUUUUUUUUUUUUUUUUGUUAUUUUUGGUGUGUGCUUGAGAAAGAUGUGAGCAAGGAAAAUAAAUUUUUUUGACUAAAAAAGGAUUUUUUUUUAUUCGAUUUCAAUAGAGAAGAAGCUGAGAAGACCCUGAUGAAUGCAAAAUCCUAGAGUUUUUAAACCCUAAUCACGAUGGGAUUUUUUUUGCUUCUAAUCUCACUAGAUCCACAAAGAAAAAGGGAAUUCAAAUUUCUUUUCUUUUCUUUUUUUAAAAAUGGGAUUUAUUUUAGAAUAAAAAGUAAAACAGAAGGGUUUUGGAAAUAAUUUUCAAAAGAAAAUAAGACGAAGAAAAAUGAAAGGUUUUGGUUAAAAAAAGAUAUGUUUUCGACCACCUCGUACGGUGCUCUGUUACCGAAAAUUGGAGAACAUUAGGUUCUUCCACGCCAAAGGGCCAACAAAAAAGGUAGAGAGAUCAAACGAAGAAAAAAAAAGAAUUUUAGAAAAGUAUUUAGGGGUAAAAUGGAGGGAAAAGGGCAAAGAAAAAAGGGAGCUUUUAUAGAGGAAAUAAAUGAGAAUAUUGCAAGGAUGGCCCUCUGUGUUUUCUAAGUAGCUUUUGAGAACUUCCGCCUUUUGAAAUUUACCCAAUUGAUCCCUUAAAGUUUGAAUUUCAUUUCAAUUUUGAAAUUCAGGCUAGAAUAUUUGCCCAUUAAGUAUCUCCGCUUUUACACUGUUUAUAAUUUUUUUUGCUUUUUAUUUAUUAUUUAUUUUAUUUUGUUUUAGUAAUUAGCGUUCAUAAAUAAUGGAUAUUUUUUUACUUUUAUAUUAAUUGGAAUUUAAUUAACUAGUGAUUUGAUUUGAUUUGAUUUUUUAUUUGGAAAAAAAUGAAAUAGUGUGUUUAUAAUUGUUAUUUUGUAUGUUAUAUAUGUAAGAAUGAUAUUUAAUUUGUACAUGUUUGGUUGUUAAUUGAUUUGUAUGAAAUUAAUUAAAUAAUUGUAACAUAUUUAAAAGUUAAAUUUUGUAUAUGACAUAAUAAGUAGGAAGACAUUUUGUCACUUUAUUAAUUAAUUUUGUAAAUUAGGUAAAAGGGGACUUAUUUUACUUUUUAGAUGUUAGCUCACAUCAACAACAUUAAUUUAAAUAAUUUGGAAAUGUUGAUUAAUUUAUUGUAAAACUUAACUUUUGUUAACUGUAAAAUUGAGUUAUUAGGUGUCAAAAUAACUUAAAUUAUUUUUUUUUUUAAAAACUAAUAAAAAUGUUAAAAAGGCUAACAUUGUAUUGUUUUAGGACAAGUGUCUUAAGAGUGUUCUAGCCUUCCCUUAACAUAAUCAAACUCCUAAACUUAGAUCUAGUAAUUAAACUGAGUUUGUUCUUUUAUGAUUUUCUUUUAACUUAGGAUCUGUUUGUUUGCCGGUAGUUCAUUUUUCAGAAAAUAUUUUUCGUCUUUUACAGUAUUUAUUUGACUAAAGGAAUUGAUUUUCUGGAAAAUCAACUUCAGAAACACGAAAAAAUAUCCUCCUUUUUGCAUAAAAUGUCUUACAGAUUUUUUUUCUCUAAGACAUUUUCCAUUCCUUUUCUUGGGUUAGCCUCUCAUUUCCUUCUCAUUUCAUUUCCUCCUUAUUUCCUCUCCGUCCAUCAACGUCAGCCUCUCCUCCUCAUCUUCGGUGUCCUUUUUCUUCUUGGGUGUGUUUGUUAUCAACAGGUUCUGUUCUCCUUUUCUCUGUCUAUUGUUUUUGUUGAUCGUGAUUUGUUCUUGGGUGUGCCUCUCCUCCUUUUCUCUGCUAUUUUUGCUCCUGUAUGUUUUAUAUUGAAGGAUCUUAUUAAUUUGUUACAAAGGUGUCAAGCAAAAUGCUUCUGUAUGAAUAGAUUUUGGUAUUAGGUUUGCUAGAUCUUCUUCCCUAAUCUGUUUAAUCGUGUCCCUAAUUUAAACAAUCUAAGCUUGCUAAAAAUUACAGUGUUGUUCGUCACCUUUUCUCGCGAUUCAUCGAAGGUAGAUUUCUACUCACAUUCUUGAUUGGAAGCUCUAGGGUAAUUUUUGAGCUUAAACUGGCUUUACUGUGCUAAAUGGAGCAUUUCAUUUGAUGAAACUAGAUUUUGUUGAUUAGUCAAAAAAUGUAAAAACAUUGAGGAAUUUAACUGAGAUAAUAUUGGUUUUUUUCUCGUCUAAUUCAAUCUUGGCUUGGAUUUUAAUUGAAGUAAGGAAAGUGAAGUUGAAUUCAAUUAUUCGUAUUUUGUGAGGGAUAAGGCUGUUGAGUUGUGUAGAAUUGGUGCUCAAAUGAGAGAGCAGGACUUGGUUGAGUUCUUUAUUCCAUUGUUGAAGGUUGUUUUUUUUUUUUGUGUGUGUAUAUAAUUUAUAUGGUUUUGCAUGUUUGUUGAGAUAGAAAUUAGAAAGUUGAAUGCCUUAAUAAGGAUGUAUGGUAUGGUGUUUCUAUCUUGUAAUGCUUGAAAACUGUGUAUAAACCAGAAUGGAUGAAAGUAUAAUUGCAUCUUGUGUUUUAAAAUUACUAAUAUUUCUAUCAUUGAACUGCUAAUUUUAUUGUUCCACUGCUCUGCCUUGAUUUCUUUUGGAUAAUUGUACCAUAUAAAAUGCAAGUUGAAUGCCUUAAGAUGGAUGCAUGAUAUAGUGUUUCCAUCUUGUAAUGCUUGAAAACUGUAUAAACCAGAGUGGAUUGAAGUAUUAUUGCAUCUUGUGUUUUGUGUACCAAAAUUAGCAAUAUUUCUGUCAUUAAUUGCUAAUUUUCAUGUUCUACUGCUCUCCCUUGUUUUCAAUUGGAUAAUUGUACCAUAUAAGCUGUAAGUUGAAUGCCAUAAUAUGGAUGCAUGAUAUAGUGUUUCCAUCUUGUAAUGCUUGAAAACUGUAUAUAAACCAGAGUGGAUGAAAGUAUAAUUGCAUUUGUGUUUUGUGUUUCAAAAAUUACUAAUAUUUCUAUCAUUGAACUGCUAAUUUUAUUGUUCCACUGCUCUGCCUUGAUUUCUUUUGGAUAAUUGUACCAUAUAAAAUGCAAGUUGAAUGCCUUAAGAUGGAUGCAUGAUAUAGUGUUUCCAUCAUGCUCGAAAACUGUAUGUUAACUGUUGAUUUAUUGUUCUGCUGCUGGUGCCAUGGUAAAAAAUGCUAGGAACACAAGAGUAACGAAAAUCGAGUUGUCACCUAUUGCAUACUGUGAAUUUCCAUGCUGUGAAUUUCUAGGCAUUGUAACUUCACCUGUCUGCUGUUGUUUAAAGUUGUGCAUUUGUUUAGUACUUAGGCGAAAAUCGAAUUCUCACCUAUUGCAUACUUUAGCUUUGCAGCAAUUUUUUGUUUCAAAACGAGUGAUGUAGGAUAAGGCUUUAGCUUUGCAAAAUGUUGUGUGUUUCAAAAGAAGUGAUGUAAGAUAAGUAAGGAGAAGAGAUAGACUAUUGGGAAAAUCAAAAUUGACUGAUAAUAAUGUGUUAAAAGCAAACAAAAUUGGGAGGAAACAAAAGAAAUAUAUAAAGAACAUCGGAAAGGAAUCAAGAGAGUAAGAAAUAUAUAGAGAAUAUCGGAAAAGAGUCAACAGCGUAAGGAAUCAAUUUUUAUUCGAGUCAUCUAAAAAGUUGAAACGAGAACGUCAUGAGUGGAAUAUGGGAGUAAGAAACUACACUCAAAGGGCAAAUCUAGAAAUUUGUUUAAAGAAGAUUAUAAUUUAAUUAUAAUUUUUUUUAGAAAACAAAAUAUAAUUUUAUUGUUUAUUAAUUUUUAAGAGAUUAGAAAGAAAUUAUUUUAUUUUUAGAGAGUUAAAAGUGUAAUUUUAUUAUAUAUCAAUUUAUAAUUUUAUUAUUUUAAAAGAACAAGUAGUUUUUCUCUUUUGGAAACCAAGUAACUAUCUACCCCUUUAAAUUGAUCCUUAAAAUUUGUGAUUUUGUAUUUAAUAUUGCUUCUUAAAAGUACUUUGAUUCUUUUUGAGAGAAUUUGUGCUUUUCAAAAGUAUUUUUUUUUUGGUCAAAUGCAAAAGCAGAAAUUUAAUACUUCUGGAGCCAAAAACACUUUUAAAUAUUGAAUUCCUUUUUCAAUCCUCAUAAAGGCAUCAAUGGUAAGAAGUUAUUGCAGCAGUUCCUACUUUCCCUUUCAUUUUCUCUAGUUCUAAACUUUUGCAGCAGUUUCCCUUCUUUUGUCUUCUCUGGUUCUUCCUACUUUCCUUUUCAUUCUCUCUAGUUCUAAACUUUUGUAGUAGUUUCCCUUCUUUAAUUUCCUCUGGUUUUUCCUACUUUCCCUUUCAUUUUCUCUAGUUCUAAACUUUUAUACUAAUUUCCCUUCUUUUAUUUUCUCUGGUUCUUCAACUUUUGCAACAAUUUACAUUCCCUUCUUUCAUUUUCUUUAAAUAAAAGUCUGAUUUGUGAAGUAACAGUGGAAGAGAACUUGCCUUUCGUCUCCACGAGAGGUAAAUGACUUUUACCUUCUUCUUCUUCUUCUUCUUCUUCUUGUUAUAUCCGUUUAAUACCCAAUUGGUGCCCGGGGCCCAACUAUACUCACUAAAACUGACCCAAAGCCCAAAUUACAACCUAACCCAAUUACAAGGCCCAAAUGGCCUAAGGUAACAGAAGCCCUAAAGCAGCAGGUAGCCUCAGCGCCGCACGUUCCCACGUUGCAGCAACCACCCAUCACCCACGUCGCUUCACCCACGAUCAGCAACUCCGCAUAAUGCCGAUUCCACUGCAAUAAAUCAAAAACAGAGGGAUUGAUCAAUGGGGGGUAGAGGAAAAAAAAAAAGAGGAAAAGAGUUUUUGUAAAUUUUGGGUACGUAUAAAGCGAUUUUCGAAUCUGUAAAUGGGUUAGCAAAUUGUUUACUAAAAACUGAAAAAGAAAUACCAGAGAAAAAAAACAUUUUGAAGGUGACGAAUUCGGGUUUCUUUUCCUUGCUUCUUUUACUGUUUUUAUUCUUUUAUCUUGUUUUUCUUUGAUUUCUUUGAAUAACAAAAAGGGAUAAGGGGAAAAUAGGAGGGCUUACCGUUUUUUGGAGGCGAUUGAAGGCUUCUUUUCGCCGUUGUCUGGUCGGAGUUGGAGCGGCAGAGAAGGAGACUUUGAGAGAAUUUGCGGCGCACCAGAAGAGGGGCUGAGGGAAAAUGAUUUUAGGGUUUCAAAAUUUUGCAUAUAUAGGUCGUAAAACGACGUCGUUUAGGGCCUGUUUCAGUGGCCCCCAAAACGGCGUCGUAUUGAUUGUGCCCGCAUGCAACCUGAUCCGACCCGAG